UUUUUUGGGGCAAGUUCAUUUUUGACAAGUCCACAAAUAAUGUCUCGUUAAGCAACGUCAUUCACAAUUAAAGUGUGCCAAUAGUUUUGAUUGGAACACCAAAGUGGACAUUAUUAGCACAUUUAAUUAAUUUCUAUAUAUAUAUAUAUGAAAACACCAUCUUAUGUUUUCUGACUUAAAAAACCCAAAAUAUUCUUCAAAAAUAUAUUCUUAUUCUAACGUGUUACAGUAAAUUGUUGAAUAACACCUGGAAAAAAAUGAUAAAAAAAUUUUAACGAAAAAUAAAAAAGCGUAGUAAUCACGCACAUGAUGUGUAGUUGUUAGCCAAACAAGAAUCUCACAGUGAAAGUUCCACGUCCCAUUAAAUAACUGAUAAUUAAUAUUAAUUAUAUAUAUAUAUAUAUAUAUAUAUAGCGGAAACGUGAUCCAUACAUAAUUUUUUGAAACUCUGUCAUCAUCAAACUCCUUGUUCCAAAACUUCUGUUUAUGAAAUUGUAAAAAAAAAAAAAUUCAAAUUUUCUGUUGCGUCUUAACUUUCCUCAUUUCUCUCUCAUUCUCUUCAGAAUAACGAUUUAGAGCCUUUGGAACAUUCUUUCAAGUUUCAACUGCGUUCUUGUUGCUUUGUAGUUUGUGUGUUUAAGGCAGUAACAUUUAUUAAUGGCGCCACUGGGAAUUUUAGUCGCCGUCUUGUUGUUACCGGUGGCGGCGGUGAUGGGUCAUUUUCCGGUGACUCUGACGCUUGAAAGGGCGAUUCCGGCGAGUCAUAAAGUGGAGUUGAGUCAGCUUAUAGCUCGUGACAGGGUCAGACAUGGCAGAUUGUUACAGUCUGCUGCUGGGGUCGUUGAUUUUUCUGUCGAAGGGACCUAUGAUCCCUUUGUUGUUGGGUAAUUUUGCUAUGUCAAAAAACCUUAUAUAUAUAUAUAUAUAUAUAGAUAUAUGUUUGUUAAAGUUUGAGUAAUGGGUUUGUUUUUGUUUUCAAAAAUAUUUGCUUUUUGUUUGGUGGUUUCUGGAAUUGUUGUUGCUUAGUUUGCAUUUGACUGUUUUUUUAUUUUUCUUGCUUUUGUAUGCAGCAUUUGUUUAAAAUUGUGAUUAAAUUUGGUUGUUUUAUUGGCUUUGUUGUUAGUUUUAUUUUUUUUUUUCCUUUUUUUGGGUUCUUUUAGGCUUUAUUAUACAAAAGUGCAAUUGGGUUCUCCACCAAGAGAAUUUCAUGUGCAGAUUGAUACAGGAAGUGAUGUUUUGUGGGUCAGUUGCAGUUCUUGCAAUGGUUGCCCAGGGACAAGUGGACUCCAAGUAAAUUUUGCAUUUCCUUAUAUGUAAAUUUUCUAUUUGUUGUCAAAUUGUUAAAAUUAGAGUCAUAAAAUGGAGUUGUUGGGUCUGAAAUUUUUCGACUGAUUUUACUUGCUACUGCAACAGAUUCAGCUCAAUUUCUUUGAUCCCAGUAGCUCAUCAACAGCCUCAUUGGUCCGUUGUUCUGACCAAAGAUGCAGUUUAGGUCUUAAUACGGCAGAUUCUGGCUGUUCUUCUGAGAGCAAUCAGUGUAGUUACACGUUCCAAUAUGGAGAUGGUAGCGGGACAUCAGGCUAUUAUGUAGCAGAUUUCUUGCACUUAGACACUAUUCUUCAGGGUUCUUUGACAACAAAUUCUACAGCUCAAAUUAUGUUUGGGUGAGCUAGAAACUCAGUCAAGCUUAACAUUGUGGUUUUUUCAACUAUGUCUUGUUGUUCAGGUAUUAGAAACUAAUCUUGAUAGGUGGAUUAUGGAACAGGUGUAGCACCAUGCAGACUGGAGACUUGACGAAGUCAGAUAGAGCAGUUGAUGGGAUCUUUGGGUUUGGCCAACAGUCUAUGUCUGUAAUCUCACAGCUUUCUUCUCAGGGGUUAACACCAAGAGUGUUCUCUCACUGUUUAAAAGGGGAUAGUAAUGGCGGGGGUAUAUUGGUUCUUGGUGAGAUUGUGGAACCGAAUAUAGUUUAUUCUCCACUCGUCCCAUCACAGUAUGUUAUUUUUGUUCCAGGAAACUAUUUUUCAUCCCCGUUUUUGUUUCUUUGGCAUUUUUCAUAUCAGCCUCCGAAAGAUAUCAUGCUAUUGAUUCACUUUGAUAAAUUUCUGAUAGAUUAGAACUUGUUCCUACAUAGCCUCAGUCAUUUCUGCCUGCAGUUCUCCAUGUCUUGCUUAUAUAGGUCCAAAUGACCCAUCUUUGUGCUGUUAGGCCUUUUUAGGUUUUCUUUUUAAGUUUGAAAUGGAAGUAGUUUUUCAGUAGAACAAAACAAAUUGUUUGUUUCACGUAAAGGGGAGUCAUGAGCAGAUGUAACUAUAAUAGUGAUUUUACAGAAACACUAGAGGAAAGUAAUAAUUCUGUUAAUGGGGGGAAAAAAUUGUAGAAGCAGCUACAUUUGGCAACAUGUCAAUUUAUUCUUUAGUUUUCAGACAACUUUUAUGCAUUUUAUUUGGAUUGUGAUAUGUUAAGUGCCAUGGAACUUUCAUUCACUUCUCUAUAAAUAAUGAACAUUUGAAAAAUAAAAUAAUUGACUGCCAUAAGUUGACUAAUCAACUGCAUUGCCACAAUUUCAGGCCUCAUUAUAAUCUGAAUCUGCAGAGCAUUUCAGUCAAUGGCCAAACUCUGUCCAUUGACCCAUCAGCAUUUUCUACUUCAAGCAACAAAGGAACCAUAGUUGAUACUGGGACCACUUUGGCAUACCUUACUGAGGCUGCUUAUGAUCCUUUAAUCAAUGCAGUAGGUUUUGGCGAGCAAAGUUUUGAUUUUCUAAACAGUACACUUUACUCUCUAUCAAAGAUUGAGGUAUAAAGCUCUCAUGUUGUGCAGAUUACGAGUUCUGUCUCUCAGUCUGUGCGCCCAGUUCUUACCAAGGGAAAUCAGUGUUUUCUAAUCACCUCCAGGUUCACUUUCUUGAUUAAUUGCCUUAGUUUAUUUAAUCUAGUGCUCAUUCUUCUGGGAUAAUAUCAACUCCUUUUUAUGUGUUUAUUUUGUGUUCAGUACUGCAAUAUUUCCUCAAAUUAGCUUCAACUUUGCUGGAGGUGCAUCCCUGAUUUUGAACGCUCAAGAAUACCUUAUACAGCAGAAUUCUGUUGUGAGUUGCUAAGCUUAAUAUAAGCAUUAGUGUAUGAUAUACGUAUGCACAUACAUAAAUAUUAACUGCAUAAAUGAAUAUAUCUGGUCAUUAAGAAAAAUUGUUGAGGGUGUGACUUGUUGUUCAUAUGGUGCCAGCUCAACUGGAACAGGAUCAAUUUGUUUUGAACUAAAUUUGUCGUGUUAUUGGUUUUCUUUUUUCCCUUUGGUUUUAUCUUUUUCCCCUUUUUUUGGCUUUGCAUGCUCCUCUUUCCAUGAAAUAAUUCAUGCAUUGGGAAAACUUCAUUCACUGUAUUUAAUUAUUUCUCCAAAGCUUUCUUCAGACAAUUGAUUGCCUGUAUGCCUGCAACUUUUUGUAUUCACUCAAUAUGAUUACCCUUGUAUUGCUUUUUAUAUUACCUCAGUCCUGGUUUGUGAAAAUUUUAUCCUGAUAUUGGUUGUGUUCUGUUUUUUAUCUUGUUGGUUUAUGUUUGUCAAAGUGUUCGCUUAAACCUGAUGUUUGGAGUCAACAGAGAGUUUUUGAAGUCUUCCAUUUUGAGUUCGAUUUCUCAAAGAAACCUUUUCAUUGAUCUUUCUUUUGCAGGGUGGUACUGCAGUGUGGUGCAUUGGCAUUCAGAAAAUUCAGGGUCAGACAAUUUUAGGAGGUAUUCACACCAAACAGAAAAUGUUUCUGACUAGACACAUAAGUAGAUUCAUGUCUAGGAUUUAUAGUUUAAUUUUCUGUCAAACUGUCCUCUCUCUUUUUUUUUUUUCUUUCUUUCUGAAUUUUUGGUUUGACCUGAAGCUCUAAUGUCAGUAUUAUCAAAACCUCACUGCUAAUUGUUUCUCGUCUUGAUUUUAAAUGUGUUAAUUAGCAUACAAGUCCUGUGUUGCAUACUAAUGCCUUAGUUUGGAUAGUGGAUAGAGAAAGAUGAGAAAAUUAAUUGAAUAUGCUUUAGAAACAGGGCCACUUUUAGUAUCUUCCUUACAUUUUUGCUCCUAUUUUCCGAGAUUCAAGAGGGGCCUUUUUAUCUUAUUUUCCAUUGAUAUGUUAAUCAAAUCCUUCCCUGCCUUACUGUUUUCUUGUGAGAUUUUCCUAUAAAGUUUUUUUUUUCAAUUUUUGUAAGGGGAAUAAAGAAAAGAACCCUUGUUAUGCUCCUGAUAUUCAGCUCUCUGUUCAGCGUUUUCAAUCUUUUAAGUUUGUUUAUUGCCGUUUUUCAGCAUUCCUUAUUCCUUUAAUGGUUAAUAUAGAUGUAACCUAUACAUGGAGUUCUAGAAAGUUAAAGGAAUUAGGAAUAUAUUGAUUCCCAUUUCCUGCUCUCAUAACACAGACAAGUUUCUCUGAAUUGUCAUCCUGACUAAUAAUUCGACUCAUUAUUCAAUCCUGUUAUGUACUCUUAAAGAUACAUUGAGCUUUGAACUGCUUUUGGUUUUCAGAUACUAACUCUUGUUUCUCUUGUUUUUUGCAGAUCUAGUUCUGAAAGACAAAAUCUUUGUUUAUGAUCUGGCUGGUCAACGAAUUGGAUGGUCUAACUAUGACUGUAAGUCUCAAUAACACUUGAGUCAGGCAUGAUUUGUUGAUCAUUUAAAUUGUUUUUUGAACCCAAAUUGUCAUUAAAUCAAUAAUGGACUGUUAUCAUUUAGAAAACUUCGAAUGUCAAGAAAAUUAAUAAGACUUGUUAAGUUGCUGUAUACAGCCUAAUGGUUAGUAUUGAGUUUUUACUCCUGCAACAAAUGCUCACCCAUUGUUUAUAAAUUUAUUUAAGCAGGUUCAAUGUCCGUCAAUGUCUCUACAACUUCUAAUACUGGUAGAAGUGAAUUUGUAAAUGCCGGUCAGCUGAGUGAUAACAGCUCACGACGAAAUGUUCCUCAGAAAUUGAUACCAAAGUGCAUAAUAGCAUUCCUUCUGCAUAUAUGCAUGCUUGGUAGUUACCUGUUCUUGUAGCACAAGAUGCAGAAGGUCUGAGACCCCCCAUUUUCGAUUCCAUUGUAUAUUUUUUAGCCGGUUUAUAUUUACAGCAACCGGCAGGUCCCAUAUGUUAUUUUUUUGUGGAUCUCGUUUUCAGCUGGUUUUUCUUCAGAAUAUGUAGAGCUACACUUUGCACCAUUAGGAAUUUGCUUCAUUGGCAGUGUUGUAAUUACAGUUACACAAGGAUUAUUGGUUUAACAGGAGAAUUAAUUUAUACAAAUCUGUCAUAUGUUUGUUACUUCUUUGAUCUCUUUCACUAAGAGAAAAGGUUAUUAACAAAAUUAUUUUGAAUGAAGUAAUGUCACUGUCUUUGCCAUUAUUUUUAUCAAGAAAUGAACUGUACAAUUUUAGAGUUCACGCAAUUUUAUCUCAAAUUCUCCAUGGUGAUCAUAGUUACAAUACUUGUAUCUUAUUCAGUUUCCUCUAAUAUUUUGGAUAAGUUUUAUCACUAAAACGGAUAUGGCUUAUCACCAUAUGAACAUGAAAAAUGAAUUUAGCAUUUCUACUUGCAGUGUUGGACCAGAAAAUAAUUUCCUUUUUUAAAUGUUCGCCAUUAUCGGUUCAGAAUAGUUCCUAAUUUUGAAUUGUCAGUAUAAAUCUACAGAUGCAACAAAAUUGAUUCUCGUCUUCUUACGCUAAGAAAUACAACAUGUGUUACUUGUCUAAAAUUAUAUUCGUUUUUGUUAGUGUUAAAACUUAAAACAUAAGCAUAAAAAUAUGCAAUGAAUAAAUUAUUAGAAAAUUGGCAUAGCUAUAAAUUUACUAGAAAAUUGAUUAAUCGUGCAAGCCUGUAUGUUUAAGUUUUAAAAUAUCGUCAAAGGAUUGCUAGCCAAGUUGGAAGCGAGAGAUUAAGACCAUAUUUGGUUUGAAGAAAAGGGGAGUAGAGGAAAAGAAUGGAAUGGAGGGGAAGGGAGAAGAAAGGAGUGGAGGAGAAUAUUGAAAUUAAAUUUCAUUAUUUUGUUUGAAAUAAAAUUUGAUAAGGAAAGGAAUUAUAAUUUUUUUCUUUAGACAAAUUUAUCAUUUGUCUUAAAUAUUAAAUUAUUUGUAUUAGCGACGUUAAUUCAUUGUUUGAAUGAAAAUAUAAAAUAAUAAUAAUAAAUAAUAUGAGUCAAGAGAUAUUUAAUUCAACCAAUUUUAUCAUACCACAUCAGUUUGUACAAGAGUUUGUGAUUAUUAUUAUUAUUAAUGAAACGGCGGUCCAACGACGGUCGUACAAUAACAGUCUGGGGACUGUUCGGUGGAGUUCCGAUGACUUUCCAACGACGGUCGACGGCGGUCCGACGGCUUUCUAACAGAGUUUCGGCCACGUUCCGAUGACUGUCGGGUAGAGUUUUGACGACGGUUAAUUUAUAUUUCUAUAUUUUUAUAUUAAAUAAAUAAAUAAUUUAUUUAUUUUAUUAAGUUUCUUAAAUCAUUCAUUAAAUUUAAUUAAUAUAAAAUUAUUUAUAAUAUUAAAUUGAUAAAAUAAAUAUAUAAAUAAUAAAUUAUUAAUUAUUAAUGGCAUUAAACAAGUUAAAAAAUUGAAGGGUAAUUUUGGAGGCUGUGGUUUCCAACAUAAGAGGAAUUUAAAUUCUUCAGUCCUUGGUGUGGAAUUUAAAUUCUAUAUUAUGAUAAAUAUUAAAUUCUAAUGGAAAUUAAAUUCUUAAAUAUUUUGUCCAACCAAACAAUGGAAAUAAAAAUAGAAUUUAAAUUAUUUUUUCUCUCCCCCAUUCUCUCCUCCCAGCCAAACACCACCUUAGAGUUCAAAUUCAAGGGGAUAUACAUACAGUAUAACCUCAGUAAAAUAAUAUUAGAUAAAUUAAUAACCACUAUUAUAUAAUAAUUUUUUAUGGUCCCAAAUUAGGGCCGGUUUAGUAAUGUUGUAUAUUUUCAAAUAAUUAUUGUUAGAUAUACUAUAGAAAUAAUUAGUUGUAAAAAGAUUCAGUUAAAUAAUUGGUGAAAUUUAUUUUUAAAAGUGUUGUGAGUUUAAAAUGCAAUCUCAUGUGUUCGAUAAAUCUUAUUAUUAAACUGUUGUAAGAAAAUAAAUGACCGAGUUGGACAUAAUAUCAAAUAAAAUUUAUUUAAACAUAUAUAUAUAUAUAUUUUUUUUUUUAUUGUGUACAUACAAAAACUGAUGAUUACAAUAAUUAAUUUUAUUUUUUAUUUUGUUAUCUCAAUAUAAUUGGUAAUAAUAAUAACCUUUUUAAAUUUAAGACUUUAAGUACUUUAUUUCCGAAUUAAUAAUAAUAAUUUUAGAUUUUUAUAAUAUACAUGAGAAUAUGUAUGGAAUUGUAUUAAAUAGUAUACGUGUUCCUCAAAAUCAUAUUUUGAAAAACUAUUUCUUUCCUACUUUUUGAAAUUUACUAUAGGAUGGGAGAUUAAUUUUACUAAAAGUGAUUUCUAAAAAAAAUUUCCAAACAGCAAAACUAGCUUUGAGCUCUUCAAAAUCACUGUUGAACUUCUAAAAUGCAAUUCCAAAUGAGCCCCUAGGCUAAUAGGCUACAUAUUUCAAUAAGUGUAUAAGAUAAAACUUUUCCGAAAAUCCUUGUAUGUAAAUUCCAUAGUCCCAUUCAUAUCAUAACUUAAUAAUUUGUCAAAAUUACAUAUAUAAUUGAACAUCAUUUUGUCAAAAUGAAAUAUAACUCAAUUGUACCUUUUUUUUUCCUUAAAAAAUUUAAAUUUAGUUUAAUCUCAUUUAUAAUUUUUCUUACAACAUAUAGAAAAUUUUGAGGUUGAAUUCUCAAAUUGCAAGUAUAACGAAUUUAUAUUUAAGUUAGUUUAAAGUAUAUUUCCUGAAUUAAUUCAUAUUCAAUUGAUUAGAGUGAUGAAAUACAACGAUUUUUAAUUCCUUAAAUGUGUAUAUAGUAACUACACUCUAUAUCUAUUAAUUUAUCAAUUAAUUAAAUAUUUCUUUUAACCAAUUAAUAGAUAGAUUUUACAUGGUCCGACAUUCAGUGGGGGCGCAAUCCCAGUGAUUCAUAUUACAUAUAUGUAUAGAGAGAGAGAGUGUGUAGCUUCGGCAUUCCGCCAAUGCGUGGGCAUAAGCUUGGCACGCCCUUACGGUCGUUUCCUCAAUAAUAAAAUCAGAAUUCAACAAGAAAGCUAAUUCCUAAAGAGGAAAUGAAUCACACGUUAACACAACUUCUUAAUCAUGUUCUUAAUAAAUAAUGGAAAAAUAUCCACCGUCCACCGGAUUUUUUCUAUUUUUUUAAAAAUACACAAAUCUUAAUUUUUUUGGCUGCGUUCCACCUAAAUUUAUAUUUUUUUUCACAUUUCCACCUCCGUUUGCAAACCGUCAAGACGUUGCUAACGUCAUAAGCAUAAAAUGAUAAUUUCACGUGCUCACGUCGUUUAAGAUCUGUAACAAUGAAAAAAAAAAUGAUAAUUUCACAUGCGCCUCAUUCGUAAACUCUAAUACUAAACUCAUUGUAUCUCAUCUAAUAAAUGACAUUAGCAUAAACCACCACCAGCAAUGCAGUUGUUCUCCUCCCUGUUAAUUUCAGGGGCAACCCGACCCAAAACGGCUAGAAAUAGAGAGGAUAGAGGAUAUAACUAUAACCAAUUUCUGACAGCACAGUUGAUGGAGCAAGUGCGGUUGACGGCGCUACAAGUUCAGGUUUAUUAUGGAACACAAAAGGAGAAGAAAACCUCGCUUCGUCCUUCCUCUUCGAAGGGGGUUUAACUACGACAAACCUAACUAGAAAAAAUCAUAAGAAAACCAGAAGCCUCUUCAAACGUACGGACGGGCAAAGCCGUAAUAGGGAAGAAUGGGAAUUUCACGAUGCUGCCAGGUGUUCCCAGCGAGAUCCUCUGCUUUCUUCGUCGCUUCUCCAACUUUCUUCCCCCAUCGCCCAACACAUCCUUCACAUUCCCUACCGCGUUUGAUUCAAAUCAUUAUCCCAAAUUAACUAACAUUUACAGGAGGCACGUCUCAAUAAAAUAACAAAAAAAAAACGAAAACAAAAAUACAAAUACGAGACGGACCUUUGAAGGAAAAUGAAUUGGAGGGCAGUGCAGGAGUGUGGGCGACGUAAGGAUUGGAUCUAUCGAUUGGGGGCAUGGUAUUUUGGUAAUUAUGAGUAUUGGGAGCGUGCGAUUCGGUCACCAAGUCGGGGCUCCAGUGCACCGAUUUCUUCGACGCGGAUGAUGCUGGCGACGGUUCAGAUGAAUUGGUGGAGCUUUCUAAUUGGAUCUUGAUUUGACUCUGAGGCUGCACUUGAUUCUCGUUCUCAUAAACUUUCUCAGACUCGGAUCCCAUGACGAUAUUCGCCCAGUUAUCGUUGUCCCCAUUCGGAUUCGGAUCGGGUUUUGGGUUCGGAGCGGGGGACUCUGUCUCGUUGUGGUCGGUGUCUGCUGCUGCGGCCUUCGGGGGCGCUUGUUGCUGAUCCAUUUUGUUUCAAAAGGUUCUUCGGAGGCGCGUGGCGAGUCUUGAUUGGGAGUGGUUUGAUUUUCAAAUGUUAUGAGGUCUCUGUUCGGAUUGCUACAGUGGAGAGGAUUUAGAGGGGAGAAUGGUCAUGCACUGUACAAAUUGAUGACUUUUUUUAGCACCAAGCGGGAUUGAGAAUUCAAUGGACUAUCUUGGCUGGUGCUCGUCAUUCAUCAAUUUUCUCGUAAAUAUUAUUUUUCAUGAAGUUUAAGUGACCGUAAGGCCUUUUAAAUUUAAAAUGUAUGCAUUCUAAAAACAACAACACUUAUUAUUAUUAUUAUUAUUAUUAAUUAUGGCAAAUAUGUAACUUCUCUAUUUUGGGGGUAAAAAAGCAAUUUGAACAAAAUUCCGUUAGUUUUAUUAACGGUUUGCAGACGGAGGUGGAAAUGUGAAAAAAAAUAUAAGUUUAGGUGGAGCGCAGCUAAAAAAAUUAAAAUUUGUAUAUUUUUUAAAAAGUGAAAAAAAUCUGGUAGACGGUAGAUAUUUUCCCAUAAACAAUUAACCUGUUUUAAGCUUCGGUUUAAUGAUAUUUACAUGUAAGUAACUUUUGGGCAGUGUGAUCUUUCACCAAAGAUUACUGAGAUGGUGCAGGAGUGUGGGCGACGUAAGGAUUGGAUCUAUCGAUUGGGGGCAUGGUAUUUUGGUAAUUAUGAGUAUUGGGAGCGUGCGAUUCGGUCACCAAGUCGGGGCUCCAGUGCACCGAUUUCUUCGACGCGGAUGAUGCUGGCGACGGUUCAGAUGAAUUGGUGGAGCUUUCUAAUUGGAUCUUGAUUUGACUCUGAGGCUGCACUUGAUUCUCGUUCUCAUAAACUUUCUCAGACUCGGAUCCCAUGACGAUAUUCGCCCAGUUAUCGUUGUCCCCAUUCGGAUUCGGAUCGGGUUUUGGGUUCGGAGCGGGGGACUCUGUCUCGUUGUGGUCGGUGUCUGCUGCUGCGGCCUUCGGGGGCGCUUGUUGCUGAUCCAUUUUGUUUCAAAAGGUUCUUCGGAGGCGCGUGGCGAGUCUUGAUUGGGAGUGGUUUGAUUUUCAAAUGUUAUGAGGUCUCUGUUCGGAUUGCUACAGUGGAGAGGAUUUAGAGGGGAGAAUGGUCAUGCACUGUACAAAUUGAUGACUUUUUUUAGCACCAAGCGGGAUUGAGAAUUCAAUGGACUAUCCUGGCUGGUGCUCGUCAUUCAUCAAUUUUCUCGUAAAUAUUAUUUUUCAUGAAGUUUAAGUGACCGUAAGGCCUUUUAAAUUUAAAAUGUAUGCAUUCUAAAAACAACAACACUUAUUAUUAUUAUUAUUAUUAUUAAUUAUGGCAAAUAUGUAACUUCUCUAUUUUGGGGGUAAAAAAGCAAUUUGAACAAAAUUCCGUUAGUUUUAUUAACGGUUUGCAGACGGAGGUGGAAAUGUGAAAAAAAAUAUAAGUUUAGGUGGAGCGCAGCUAAAAAAAUUAAAAUUUGUAUAUUUUUUAAAAAGUGAAAAAAAUCUGGUAGACGGUAGAUAUUUUCCCAUAAACAAUUAACCUGUUUUAAGCUUCGGUUUAAUGAUAUUUACAUGUAAGUAACUUUUGGGCAGUGUGAUCUUUCACCAAAGAUUACUGAGAUGAUUUUGGAAAUGGAUCACUCCGAGCUGCUCGUGCUGUUGGAUUCACUUUGAGUCAUUAGCUGCAAAAGUGGAAGAAGCAACGGAGUUGCUUGAGCUCUCAAAAAGUAAAGAAAGUAAUUCAGAAGCCACGGUACAGGAAGAAUAACGGGUAAUUGAAAGGAAAAAAGGAAGCAUACACAGUUCAAUACUCUUGCUGACUGCUUAAAUGUACUUGGAGUACGAUCACCGGCUUUUUUAGGUUGCUUUGAAGAAAUUUUUAUGACAUUUUUUAAUUCAAUACUUUCGUUUUUGCAGUAUUUGUUCAUCAAUUUAUACGUCUUAGUUAAAAACAACUGCAUGUACCCAACUGUGUCUGUAUACAUGCCAUCAUUCGCCUAAUCAAACAAUUGAGGCAAACUUUAAUUUUCCUUCUAACCACCAUUUUUAACUAUAAUUUAUUAUUUUAAUUCACUAAUUCUCAAAAGUCACAAAAAAUCUUUGAUUAAUUAAUUCUUCUUUGUCUACUGUAAUAAUGAUCAAAGCUUAAACUACUUUUUUUUUUAAUUUUUCUUUUUUAUUCUCUCUCGCUAAAUCAACUUUAUCUUUCUCAAAAUUCUAACAAAUUUAGAACAGUCUAAAAACUCUUAUUUUUUAUUUUUAAUUGAUUAAAAUUGUCUCUUUCAUCUUGUUUCUAAUUACAAUAGAGCUGAAUUUAUUACUUUUUGAAUAAUUAUAAAAUGCAAUAUUUACUUCACCACAGAAAAUUCUAUAAUGUCGUAAUGAAAAUUACGGCAUCAAUACCAUGAUAGACAUAAAUAUUAUAAAUUAUAUAUAAAACCAAUAAAUGCAAAGUAAAAUCAGUAAAUUCAUAUAAAAUUAUUAAUUAUUUAAAAAAUUAACAUUGUUCCUAUAGAAUUUUAGUGAAAAAUAUUUUAUUCAUUUAAAAAAAUACUUUCUUUAAUUAAAAAAAUUACUCAUUAAUUAAACAAAAAAAAUUAUACUGAAAAAAGUGAAAUAAUUUUUUUUGAAUUGGUUUAACUAUAAAUUCUAUAUUUAUUAUAGGGCAUUUGUAUACUUUUUUCCAUUUUCUAUAAUAAUAUAUAUUUAUUACUCACGUUAAUUAAGCACAAUUAUUUAUCUUGAUAUGGAUAAAGCAAAAACAAAAUAAAAAUAUAUAUAUUCUUAUAUUACUAGACACAUAUAUGAUAUAUCAAUAAAGUUAGAUCUAAUUUUGAGUCUUAUGCAUAAUUCAUGUAGUUUCAAACAUUUUAUUUGUACUUAUUAGAAACCAUUUAGGGUUGUUGUUGAAGAAAUGUAGAAAUAUGUAAAAUAACCUCAUCUUGCAAAAUCUAAUUUUGAGAAUAAAUUUCAUCCUUAAUAAAAACAUCACAUGUACUAUAAAAAUACAAAACUAGUAUUAUUUAAUUUAAAUAAAAAUCAAUAAAUAUAUAAGGUAAUAAACAUUAUAACUAGUUUUUAUUUUUACAGUUGCGAUUUUUUUUUUUUUACAGUAACUCAUAUAUUAAUUUAUUUAUUGUACCUUUUAUUCAUAAGUUUUAGGUAUAAUCUACAAAAUUUAUGUUUCAUUUUGCACUUAACAUUGAUUUACUUGUUUUAUAUUAUAUUUGUAAGUUUUCGUUUUAUUUAUCAGUAAUACAUCAAGUUACCAGCUUUAUAGUAAUUUACUUGUUUUACCUUCUUUUUACAAGUUUUAUAUUCUAUUUCUUAAAUUUAUGUUUUAUUUUACGAUUAGUAUUGAUUUUCUAAUUUUAUGUUAUAUUUGCAAGUUUUUGCUUUGUUUACUAUUAAUUCAUUAAUUUACAAAUUUUAUAUUAAUUUACUUGUUUUAUAAGUCUUAUGUUCCAUUUUUAAAAUUUAUGUUUUAUUUUACACUAAAUGUUGAUUUAUUAGUUUUAUAUUAUAUUUCUAAGAUUUUGUUUUAUUUACUAAUAAUGCAUCAAUUUAUCAAUUUUAUAGUAAUUUACUUAUUUUAACUUUUCCUUACAAGCCUUUUGUUUCAAUUUCUAAUUUAUGUUUUAUUUUACAAUUACUGUUAAUUUAUAAGUUUUAAAUUAUAUUUACACAUUUUUAUUUUGUUUACUAAUAAUACAUUAAUUUAUUAAGUUUAUAUUAAUUUACUUAUUUUAUCUUUCAUUUAUAAAUAUUAUAUUUUAUUUUACACUUAAUGUUGAUUUACAAAUUUUAUACUAUAUACUUAAUGUUGAUUUAUAAAUUUUAUACUAUAUUUGUCGAUGUUUAUUUUAUUUACUAAUAAUACCUCAAUUUAUUAAUUUUAUAUUAAUUUAUUCAUUUCACCUUUCAUCCAUUUACAACUCUUAUGUUUAACUUCUAAAAAUUUAUUUUAUUUUACAAUUAAUACUGAUUUAUGAAUUUUAUAUUAAAUUUACAAAUUUUAUAUUUUAUUUACAUAAUUUAUAUUAAAUUAAUCACGGCUUCAUAGAAUGAUCCCACUUCCUUCACACGUUACAAUAAAUUUUGGUUAAGGGAAAGAGGUCGAGAGAGAAAAUAACAUCAAAUAUAUAAUUGAUCCAGUUAUAUUUUCAGAAUUAAAAUGUUAAUUUUCAAAAAGAGUGCAGUGAGAAAAUCAGUGGAACCCAAAUAACCCCACUUAUAGCAAAAUAAGAGCAGAAAAAAAAAAAUGAAGUUUUUUGGCAUUUAAAUUUACAAGGCUUUAACCAGGACAAUAUGCAGCUUACAUUUUUAAACAUAAGGAGAAUCAGUUUCUACCAUUGAUCUCCAAUCUGAAACUACUCCCAAAAUAACAGUACUGUCCAAAAUGGGCACCACGCUGGCACUCCAUAUACCAAAUCACGUCAAGCCUUGAUGAAAACCAUGACAAACAGGAUUGAGGCUGGAGACUACCUUCAGCAGUAAAACAUUACAUCUUUCACAUUAUCCUUGAUGACGGGAAGAGGCCGGAUAGCCAAACUCCUCUCUGCCGUACUCCUACUCCCACCUGUGGAUCCACCAGCAGAUGUUUCAUCCUCGAUAUAAUAGCGAGCCCGAAAAGCUGCUAAAUGUGCAUAAUAUGCAGGAGGAACUGCCAUAUGAAAACAGCCAAUACAAAAAAAAAAAAAAAAAUCAAUGCUAGCCAGAAUAAUAAUAAUUCAUUGACUCAAAACGCUUUUAGUAAAACAAUAGAAGUACAAAGGAUCAGACCUAUUGAAACUGAUCGAGUACACCUUGCAUACCUGAAAAUGGGCUACGAGUCAAAAACUUACAAAAUAACCAUCUGAAGGACAAAUUCUUCAACAAUGCAAUAUUAAAUCCAGUUAUAGAGAAGGUAAACAUAUUACGUGUAACACAAGUUAUUUGUUAACACUUGCAAGCCAUCUGCAGUAAAACGGUUCUCAUCAUACAAUACAUGGUAGUGAGUUGGGCGACUGGUUCCCUGGAAAAAACACCUUAAUCAGUUCAACACAUUUAAAAAUUAGGGAGGGAAAAAGGGUACAUUGUUUAAAAAAGUCUGGAUGGAUAAAAUUUGGAUUGAAAGAGCAAACUUAUUUAUUUUUUUUUUUUAACCUGAAUUCCUGCAUGGCUGUUGAGGUAAAAAUCGAAUUCUGUAGGGUGACAAAUUUGAGUAUCAACAACAGUUCCUAACACAGGGACAUCCCAAAAAUAUUCAUCAAAGACAAGGUUAAGCAACAACAUGGUUCCCAGCCAUUAUGCAUACUCAAAAGAAGCAAAUAGAAAAUAAAGAUUAAUAAUACAGAGAUAACUUGGAACCUGGUAAAAUAUUUCCACUCCUAUCUGUCAGAUCGCGUCUGUUGUGAUCAGCAGGAAAAAGGCGAGUAUGAUGCCUUUUCUGUACCACAACAAAUGUAACUGGUGGCGCAUAUCCCUCCUCAAGUGAGGCACAGGCCUGGAAUUAAGUCAAUUUAGCAUGUUGCAACAAAAGUCAUCAACAAGAAAUUAACUGAAACUAGAUAUUGAAAAUCUCUAGAACACAAGAAAAUUGUAUUAUAUUCAGAACUCCUCAGCAUUACCUGCCGGAUAGCAUUCAUUUCAUGGAGUAAAACCUGACUGAACUGCCCUUCACUAACACCAUCUCUGGCACAUAAAUUAAACAACAUCAGUAACAUUCUACAAAACAUGCAGUUUACCGUUGAAAACAGCCAUUACCGGUAGAAAAUAAUCCUGUGAGGUUUGAAGUUGGUUGAUCUUCUGAAGGCAAUUAACAGUUCCCUGUAAAAGACAAACAGAAGCAUAAGGUUCUCUUAAUUAAGGCAUAUGAAAUAUAUUUCCAUGUCUACUAACCUGAUCAUUCCUCCAUGAACUAAACCCCUCUGAGGAUCUUGAGUAGAUUUAUAGAGAUCUUGGAUAAUUUCCUCAUGAUGUGCCUGAGCAGAGACAAGUCCUCUGUACUUGGUUACUUCUGGCCAAUCCAUUGAUGCCACCACCUGUCUCAGUCAAUUCAAUCUUUUAACUGAGCGAAUUACAAGAAAGCAGAAACAAAAGAUGAGUGGUACAUACAGCCGCUAUAGAAGGGCUAGAGUCUUCUCCUGGCUGUGGAUGGGUGACAUCUGCACCAAAUAUAAUUGUUGGUCUAUCAGUCACAAGAGGAAUUCUUUUCUGAACAGCAUCAACGAGCACAGUGUUUCGUCCUCNNNNNNNNNNNNNNNNNNNNNNNNNNNNNNNNNNNNNNNNNNNNNNNNNNNNNNNNNNNNNNNNNNNNNNNNNNNNNNNNNNNNNNNNNNNNNNNNNNNNNNNNNNNNNNNNNNNNNNNNNNNNNNNNNNNNNNNNNNNNNNNNNNNNNNNNNNNNNNNNNNNNNNNNNNNNNNNNNNNNNNNNNNNNNNNNNNNNNNNNNNNNNNNNNNNNNNNNNNNNNNNNNNNNNNNNNNNNNNNNNNNNNNNNNNNNNNNNNNNNNNNNNNNNNNNNNNNNNNNNNNNNNNNNNNNNNNNNNNNNNNNNNNNNNNNNNNNNNNNNNNNNNNNNNNNNNNNNNNNNNNNNNNNNNNNNNNNNNNNNNNNNNNNNNNNNNNNNNNNNNNNNNNNNNNNNNNNNNNNNNNNNNNNNNNNNNNNNNNNNNNNNNNNNNNNNNNNNNNNNNNNNNNNNNNNNNNNNNNNNNNNNNNNNNNNNNNNNNNNNNNNNNNNNNNNNNNNNNNNNNNNNNNNNNNNNNNNNNNNNNNNNNNNNNNNNNNNNNNNNNNNNNNNNNNNNNNNNNNNNNNNNNNNNNNNNNNNNNNNNNNNNNNNNNNNNNNNNNNNNNNNNNNNNNNNNNNNNNNNNNNNNNNNNNNNNNNNNNNNNNNNNNNNNNNNNNNNNNNNNNNNNNNNNNNNNNNNNNNNNNNNNNNNNNNNNNNNNNNNNNNNNNNNNNNNNNNNNNNNNNNNNNNNNNNNNNNNNNNNNNNNNNNNNNNNNNNNNNNNNNNNNNNNNNNNNNNNNNNNNNNNNNNNNNNNNNNNNNNNNNNNNNNNNNNNNNNNNNNNNNNNNNNNNNNNNNNNNNNNNNNNNNNNNNNNNNNNNNNNNNNNNNNNNNNNNNNNNNNNNNNNNNNNNNNNNNNNNNNNNNNNNNNNNNNNNNNNNNNNNNNNNNNNNNNNNNNNNNNNNNNNNNNNNNNNNNNNNNNNNNNNNNNNNNNNNNNNNNNNNNNNNNNNNNNNNNNNNNNNNNNNNNNNNNNNNNNNNNNNNNNNNNNNNNNNNNNNNNNNNNNNNNNNNNNNNNNNNNNNNNNNNNNNUAAUCAUGUUCCAUUGCCCAAAACCAGGAUUCACGCUUGCUUCUCGGCCAGUUUCAUGAUAUUUAAGCUGCAGCAUUACAGGAGGUAAAGUUAACCAUAAGGAGAUUGGAAAUACCAUAAUCCUGUUACAAAUACAACAAAAUGACACAUAAUUACCAUUGGAGCAGGUAGGAUUCGAGCAUCAACCGAUGUAAGACCAUCAGCCACUUGAAUUCCAAACUCUUUGUUCACAAGAGUAUCUUCAUUGUAAGCAUUUGUCCUAGCCAUCUGCAGAAGAAUGUCACACCCAGUAGCAAGAAUCAGAAACUCUCUUUAUUCACAAGUAGAUAAAUCCAAGAUUAAUCAUCCAAAAAGGUCCACCACAGACGUAAGAAAUUACAACAAUGCUCUACCAUCCGUAUAUUUGCUUCACGAUCCCGAGGACGCUGACAGGUAGCUCUUAAAAGAGCAGUUACUUGUCUUUCAUUUAAUCUUUUAGUAUAUCUCUGUCCCGCGGCAAUCCUAGAAAGCUGUAAAGGAAAAUAUUUUAUAAAUAAGUCUUAAAUAAAUUAUUUUCCAAACACAAAAUAUCAAAGUAAUUCUUUGAUCAUAGAACCUCCAUUGGCAAAUAAAUAGGCCUCGCUUCACUUCCAGCUAGAAGGGCAGGCAAUGACGUGAAUUGAAGCCCAAUAUUAUAUCUUUGACGAAAAUAUUGAACCACUGACAACCUUGUCGCAUUGUCAUCAGUAAACCUAACAAAUACAAUCAAAGGGAAGAUAAGCCAUGAAUGCCUGCUAUAACAUGGAGGGAGGGAUAAAUCACUGUUACAGGCAAUAACAAGUCACCAUCGCACUACAUAGAAGCCAACUACUAUCACAAAUCAUAUUUGAGAAAUUGAUUUGACGCACAGCCGCUAAACCGUUUACCACCAAGUCAGUUCAUGAAUCGUACAUACAAUACAACACAAAAGACAAAUUUAACCAUAUGUGGAUUUCAGAUGACGACAAAAGCAGGCAUCGUAAAGUAUGCUUCUGGAAUGGCGUGGGGGACUCAAGAAUCAGCUAACAUAAACAAAUCGACCAACAUAAACACAACCAAACCACCAAGUUACGUUAUCACACUGUAUCACCACAAGUUGGACAAUGUUCUUACACUUGUAUAUCAGUUAAUUACACACACACACAUACAUUAGUUGGCUCAUCGGUUGACUGGAUAUUCCGGUGAUCUUGUAACUUUUGUUAUACUCCAUAUGCGUGAGCACUACCUUUAUUCCCUUCAAUGCCUUUUUCACCUAGAAGUCAAGAAUUAAACAAUUAUAUUAAUAUCAUUGAGCACGUGUCUCUUUCCCAUUCCCAGCAAUAAUUUUGAAAAUAAUUAAAGGGCGGUUGUCAAAUAGUGGCCAAAAUAGAUUGACACUAAAAAUUUUACAGAUAGUUCAAAAGAUUGAUAAUAUACUUAACGGAAUGAUAAUAAGUUGAUUAAGAUAACUGCACAAUUGCAAAUGAAUGCGCAGAAGAUUUUUAAAACCGCCAUUUCAAGAUCUCAUUUCUUUAUCAUCAGAAUUAUAGGCCAAAUUAUACACCAGUUUCCUACAUCGAUCAUCAAACCCUGUCAUCAACAUUCUAUUCCCCUUAAGACUUGGGAGCUCAUUCUAUUUAGAUUUCAACGGCCAAGAACAACAGACACUACUCACUACCCACCAGUUCAGCCACAAAUUAAGAAAUUACCCUAUCCAAAAUUUGCAAGAAAUUUUAAAUUUUAAACUACUAGUUACUUGCAAUAAAUUAUACACAGCAUCUAAGACGUUACUGAACUUUUUGCCUAACAAAUCUGUGAUCAUUCUUUGAAAAGGCUCUUAUCACAAAUAUAUUACGGUGCUGCAGCCCUCAAUUAAAACUUUUAACCGCCCAACAUAUAGCUCAUUAAAUUGAUACUAAAUUAAUUAUAACCAAGACAUCACGAAAGAAGACUAGACAAUACCUUCAGACGCACUUGAUCAGAAAGAGGACGUGACAAGUCUCUGCAAUAAUACUGAACAAACUCAGUAGCUAGAAUUGGCUCAUAAAAGGAGCGGGCUGAAACAUCUGCAACAGAAAAAGCAAAUAUUUAUGUAGCAACGUUGCACCUAAAAAGGAAAAUCAAGUUUGCAUAAUAUAAAAGAUAAGCAGCAUCAAAUUAUAUAUAAUAUAAUGAGAAAUACCAAUAUUAAGAGAUAGCCCCAUCUGGGUUGGGCGAAGACUCUGAAAAUAUCCACGCCAAUAUUCAACGCCAUCACCAAGCUGACCCAUUGGUCCAAGAUCAGUUGAGAAAAAUGACCUCCCCACAACAGUAUGCCUGAUGCAGAAGUUCCUCAUUUCAUUAAUUAAUCAUUCUAAAAACCAAAUUGUUCGAGACGCAAAAUAGAAAAUAAUAAAAUUGUCCCUCAGAAAUCAAAUAUUAAAUCAGUUGCAUGAACAAGCAAAUGCCGGCAUGGGCAGGCAACAUCCUAUAUCAUACAAACCAAAAAGUGAAACUUUUAUUAACACGGUUAAGGUUAAAUACUUCUCUGACACUACUCACUACCCACCAGUUCAGCCACAAAUUAAGAAAUUACCCUAUCCAAAAUUUGCAAGAAAUUUGAAAUUUUAAACUGCUAAUUACUUGCAAUUAAUUAUACACAGCAUCUAAAACAUUACUUAACUGUUUUCCUAACAAAUCUGUGAUCAUUCUUUGAAAAGGCUCUUAUCACAAAUAUAUUACGGUGCUGCAGCCCUCAAUUAAAACUUUUAACCGCCCAACAUAUAGCUCAUUAAAUUGAUACUAAAUUAAUUAUAACCAAGACAUCACGAAAGAAGACUAGACAAUACCUUCAGACGCACUUGAUCAGAAAGAGGACGUGACAAGUCUCUGCAAUAAUACUGAACAAACUCAGUAGCUAGAAUUGGCUCAUAAAAGGAGCGGGCUGAAACAUCUGCAACAGAAAAAGCAAAUAUUUAUGUAGCAACGUUGCACCUAAAAAGGAAAAUCAAGUUUGCAUAAUAUAAAAGAUAAGCAGCAUCAAAUUAUAUAUAAUAUAAUGAGAAAUACCAAUAUUAAGAGAUAGCCCCAUCUGGGUUGGGCGAAGACUCUGAAAAUAUCCACGCCAAUAUUCAACGCCAUCACCAAGCUGACCCAUUGGUCCAAGAUCAGUUGAGAAAAAUGACCUCCCCACAACUGUAUGCCUGAUGCAGAAGUUCAUCAUUUCAUUAAUUAACCAUUCUAAAACCCAAAUUGUUCAAGAUACAAAGUAGACAAUAAUAAAAUUGUUCCUCAGAAAUCAUAUGCUAAAUCAGUUGCAUGAACAAGCAAAUGCUGGCAUGGGCAUGGAAAAUCCUAUAUCAUACGUACCAAAAAGUGAAACUUUUAUUAACAAAGUUAAGGUUAAAUACUUCUCUGAUGGAGCUGCUCUGAGAACAACAUCAAGAACUUGUAUAACUUCGUACGGAACUUCAAAAUGCCUUCGGCGUAAGAACUGCUGUAGAGUGUAAAGAUCAGGCUUCGAUGCCAAUCUGAUAACCACCCUAAACUGACGCUCCUUUCUGCAUAAGAAAUUACUCAGACACAUUAAAUCAAGAAAACUCACAAUCAACAAUAUUCAAGAAACAAACGUGUUAAAAGCAUGAGAUACCUCGGCCUGGUAGAUGAGCUGGGACGAGGAUCGCUAUCAGGUAACUUGAUAAUGAAUUCCUUCGAUUCAAAAGGCAGCGGCCCUGCCGUGUAAAUGCUCUUCAUACCAUCAUAGGCAGGUAUUCGUCCACCCAAGUUAGUCAGCCGAUAUAAAUUAAUCAGCUGAGAAAUAAUUUGUCUGUUGAUUUUUUUCGACGUCACCUCUGGAGUAAUUGAAACCUUAAAAAUAAAAAAUAAAAAAACAAAAGAAUAAACAUAUUUUUAAAAUAUCAACAAAACCCCGACACCUUCGAAUUCGACGCUCACGAAUGGAGAAUCUUAAAUAAAAUCAAAAUUGACGAGAAAAACGAAAAAUAAAAAAUAAAAAAUAAAAACAGCAAAACGUCUUCAAAAAUAACAAAAUUAAAAGUAGACUUACAUCGUAGUGAUGAAUGUCUCUCUCGGCAAGUUGCACCAUAAAGUGAUUUGCUCUGACAACACAUUUUUUGCCAACAGUUCCAAAUCCCGGCCUCACCGGAAAUCUCAUCGCCUGCGACGACGAAGGCGGAAGAGUAGCCGCCGCUGGUGCCGCCAAUGUCAGUUUCUGCUCCGUUUCUUCGACAGGAGUAGAGACUGAAGACGAACAUUUUUUGCCAACAGUUCCAAAUCCCGGCCUCACCGGAAAUCUCAUCGCCUGCGACGACGAAGGCGGAAGAGUAGCCGCCGCUGGUGCCGCCAAUGUCAGUUUCUGCUCCGUUUCUUCGACAGGAGUAGAGACUGAAGACGUCGAAGGAGCAGAAGCAGAAACAGACGGAGUCGAAGGAGCCGGCGCCGUCGAAGUCGAAGCGGUGUGUGGUGAGGAAGCCUACGACCACCGCCACCACGUCGAGACAUUGUCGAAAACAGAAAGGUAAAAUGAGAUAGAAAAUUUUGAGGAACCGAAGUGAAGUGAUGGUCACACAAAUAAAGCGAGAGAGCGACAGACUUAAGAAGAAACAGAGAGGAGGGAGGAAGAGGGGGUGUGUGUAUAAAUAAUAAGGACCAAGAUUUAAGAGAGAAAGAGAGAUCGAAUUAAAUGCAAGGCGUGCAAUGGAAAUUCUUUUUAUUUUAUUUCUUCGUGGCAGUAUGGCGACUGUUUGGUCCUCUGACGGAUUUACCCCUAGCUUUUUAUACUAAUGACGUGUAAAAUGUAGCACGCGCUUUUGUUGCCGUAACUGCUACACACUUGCAACUUGCUCCCGUUUUGCAAGGAAAGUGGCGAGGCUCCACUCACCACUUGCUCAGUUGCUCCCGUUGGAGGGCAAAGGAAAGAUCGUUCAUUUUUAUGAGAUUUUUUUUGUUUACGAGCGUUCAUCAUUAAUUAUUAAUUAUUAAUUUUCAGUUGGAAAUUGAGGUAAGAGCUUCAGCCGGGCUUCCGGCCUUUCAGGUUUCCAGCUCCCGCCACCAUUAGAACUUAAAUUACUUUUUUUUAUAAGAUGGGUUUAGCAGGAUAGAAUAAGAUUGGGUUUGAUUUAUAUUUAGUAUUAUCUCAUGUUUGGUUUACUGUAGGAUUUUAUUAAAAUAAUUUAUAAGAAAAUGAAGUAUAUUAAUAUUGAUUAUUAAACAUUUAAAAGUAUUUAUUUAUUAGAGUAAAUUUAUAAAUAUAGAUUUAAUAAUAUGAAUAUUCAAAUUAUUAAAUUAAAAAACCUAAAUAUUAAUUUAAGUUGUUUAUUAUUAUUAUUAUACACACCUAAUUAGAUGUGUCACACAUCCAUGAUUAGAUGACACAUGGCUCAUUGCGUAUAAUAAUGUGUGUAAUUGAUCAUUUGUAUAUGUUUAGAUACGUAUACACACAAUAUACAUACAUAUACACACACAAACACACAAAAUAUAAAUCUUACAUUUUUAUUAUUAGUUAAGUAAAAUGAAAAUUAAAGUAAAUAAAUAUUUAAUCAAUGUGAUAAUAUAAUGUAAUAAUAGUUAUAGAUAUUUCAUCGUGUAGUUAUUCUACAAUUAUUUUUAAGCAUGAAAAAAAUUAUCCCGCAUUAUCCCUAUGGUCCCCAUGGGAUAAAAAUUUUCAUUGUACUUUAUAAAAGUAUGUGUCCAAGAUUAAAUGGUGUGGUCUUAGGGUACAUAAUCCUCACUUAUCUUUGCGGCACCAAACAAAAGACUAGUUUAAUUUUAAAAAGAAUAGUCCAAUACUCUUAACUUUAUACUAUUGUCUAAUGCGUGCCUAUAUUCUUUUAACCAUCACAAAUAAAAAUACCACUACAAAUCUACAUUUUGUAAAAAGACCAAACUUAAAAUUACCCUCCGGAUAAUAUUGUUAAGAGAAAAUAUCCACCGUCCACCCGUUUUUUUUCAACUUUUCAAAAAUACACAAUUUUUUUUUUGUUAGAAUCCACCUAAAGUUACAUUUUGUUUCACUUUUCCACUUCCGUUUGAAAUCCGUUAAGAAAACUAACGGAAACUUAAAAAAUGACCAUUUUACCCCCCAAGACGAAAAUUAUAAUUUCACCCUAAAAAUUACCAAAAAUAAUCUAAUUAAAUCUAAUUAUUUUUCCCAUUGGUCAAUAAAGAAAUUAAUUCCACAACCAUCAAAUGCAAGGUUUUCUUUUUAAAUAUGUAUGUAAUUAGAAUACUAAAUUAUAACAGUAGUAUUAAAAAUAGCUCAAUCUCGCAAACCAUCAAUUAAAUUUAAAAUAAGUAGAAUUUUAUUAUUCAUUGAGUUAUAAUCUCUAGUAGUUAAGACUUUUUUAUACUUCAUUAACGUACCAAUAAUGAUAUUUAUCAUUAAAUCUUAUUAUUUUUUACCUUUUUUAGGGUGAAAUUUUAAUUUUCGUUUUGGGGGUAAAAUAGUCAUUUUUUAAAGUUUCCGUUAGUUUUCUUAACGGAUUCCAAAUAGAAGUGGAAAAGUGAAAUAAAAUAUAACUUUAGGUGGAUUCUAACAAAAAAUAAAAGAGUUGUAUAUUUUUAAAAAAAUUAAAAAAAAUAGGUGGACCAUAAAUAUUUUUACUAUUUCUAAUUCAAGAAGUUUAUGGUUAAAUCCACUCUGUAUUGUACCCAAAAAUCAAAUUUCACCCACCAAGUGAAGAUGGCAAAGGGUAAAAUUUGUGAAAUGAAAAAGACCGCCGAAAUAAUCAUCAGGUGUCUGGGGGUCAAUGGACAUAGUCGCUGUGGAAGAACAGAAGGUGAUUAGAAUUUGGAACGAGUGAAAAAUUUCCAUGAGCGCGUGCUGAUCCAUCAGCCUUUUAUUCCCGCGAAGCUCAGAGCUACGGCCUCUUUAAACUAUCACACGUGUCCUCCCGGCGUUUGAAUAUUUGCUCCCACACACGCUUUCCCCGGGCGCGUAUGACGACAAAUUAAUCAUAGCUUUUAGGCGGCGCCCCUUGGGGCGUUUUCCAGCCUGAAGGGUUGACGAUUCCCCAGGCAUCUAGUUUGGCAGUCCGCCUGUGGACCCCAUUUACACAACGUAAAGAAAAUUAUAUCUUUUUUAAUAAAAAAUUAUUGAAAAUCGACAGUAUUUGGUCACGCUGCCAAGUCCGUAUCCAUUACUUUAUAUUUUUUUAAGAAAUUAGUGGGGCUGUCUGCGAGGAGUCAGCACGCAGGCCUUUCCACGUAAGCGAUAAAGGAACAGAAGAACCGUACAACGGCACUUUCUUUUAAAAUGCCAAAUAACGCAAAGCUAAUACGAAACCUUUGAUGCAAGUACACGUGUCGAGCGAAGAAGGGCUUCUUCGGGACGUUUAUAAUUUGAUAAAGACAAAGUUGGGAUGGAUCAAUCGAAGCUGGCGUCUACGGGAGAUGCGGUGCGAUAGCACGUUGUAGAUAGUUUCCAAGUCUUCUCUUGCAAACAACUUCCGAAGGAAGGGACUUCCGCUUCAUGGUAUUCUAUUCGCAGCCUAUUUUUGGCUUUUUAGUUUUUUAAUUUCCUUUGUGGGGCCCGCGAGGAUACCAAAUCCUUUUGACCGAGGAGUUUUACUCCCAUCAGGUGACAAAGAUCGAUGGACUAAAUGCGCGGGACCACUUCCAAGAUUCUAGAAAUGCUACAGAGGAUAUGAUGGCGCCUUGUACUCGAUAGUCGGGGGGAUGGAAUAAAUUUCAGAGAAACAUAAGGGAUUGAUCUGAAAUUUGUCUGAUUUCUGUGCAAAUUUAAAUAUGUCGUCAUUUAAAAAGGAAAAAUAAUAUUUAACCACCAAGGAAAGGAAAGUAUUUUAGUAUGAACAAUGUCGUCAUUUUGUGUACUAUAAUAGUGUGUUUACUUAUCGAAUUGAGAAAUCAGAAUAAUUGAUGGUGUUUAUUUCGUAAAUAUGGAGCAAGAAUCGGAAUCGGAAUGGUGAGGCCCACCACUAUUUAAGAAUGGGGAAUGAGAGAUUGAUUCUCAUAGGGAGGUGGGAAUGAGUCUCCCAUUCCCGGAUUGACUAUUUUGCCCUCCCCUAAAAUUAAAAAUGCUCACUUUGUCCUCUUUUAUAAUUAACUAAUAUAAUAUUAUAAUUAAUUAAUUUUUUAUCUGCUGUACGNNNNNNNNNNNNNNNNNNNNNNNNNNNNNNNNNNNNNNNNNNNNNNNNNNNNNNNNNNNNNNNNNNNNNNNNNNNNNNNNNNNNNNNNNNNNCCCCUGCAGGUAAGAGCUGCUGUACCGUACAUCCGCUUUUAUAAUAAUUUUUAAUAUAGUUAUUAUAAUUAAUUAAAAAAAUUUACAAUUAAUUAAUAUAUUAGUUAAUAAUAAUUAUGAUAAUAAUCCAUUAAGUACUUUUUAGUAAUUUGUUACAAUCUAAUUCAUUAUGAUUCUGAUUCCGAUUCCGAUUCCAAGAUAAAAUAAACACAUUAAUGGCAAUCCAGCUCAUUUCGAUUUCGAUUCCUACAGUUCAAGUAAACAAUUUAUUUUUUUUAUUCCCAUUCCAGCUCAUUCUCAUUCAUGCCAAUUCCGAUUCCAGCUCAUUCUGAUUCCAGUUUAGUAAACGCAGAAUAAUGGUAUUGUAGCAUGAACAAUAAUAAUACUAAUUUUAUUUUGAUGUUAUCAUUUUAAUAUCAAUUAUCAUUAAAAAUUGAACAAAAAAUUAGCUAAAAUCCUAAAGUAAACAUGACUCUCUUAUUUAUAAGAGGAUUAAUCUAUCUAAAUAUUUUAGAUAGAGGUAAAAAAAAAAUUAAUUUGAAUUUUAUCCGCGAGCAUAAUACCUCAUAGACCAUGUGUCCCAAAGAAAAAGGAAAAGCUCUCACCAUAAUUGACAUGAAGAAUAAAUAUUGACUUUGCUAGUGAUCUAUCUAUCACUUUUGUGGAUUAAAAUGACGUGGACACACGUGGUUGGCAUACGUUCUAAAUGACGCAAAAAGAGAGAUAAAGCAUCUUCAUUCUCUUUUCCUUAACAUUGUUUUCUUUAUGCUUUAGCUUUCACUGUUUUAUGCCAAGAUCUCACUCAGUACUUUAAACUGUUGGGUUAAACGAAUUGUCAAUUUGAGCUUUCUUUUCAGUCAAAUCGAUAUUUUGCAUCUGCCGCGAGGCUCUUUAAAGCGCGCUGAUGUGACUUUCUUUGUAUUUACUUUUACUUAAAUUGCGUAGUUCAGAAGCAAUUGGAGUUGAACUUUGAGGUGCAAUUAUCAAUAAAUCUUUAAUUUAUCUUCUCAUUUAUUUGCAUCAACUUCUUAAAUUUUUUAUUUUUAUUUUUUAAAUAAAUACAUGAGAUUUCAAUUAAGCGACGUAAUAAGUGAUAUAAAAAUUUGAUGAACGAACGAAAGGCAAAAAGCCAGUUUCGCUUACCUCCAUGUGAUGUGGGUACAAAGUUUAUGAAAAAAGAAAAAAGAGAACUACAUCUACAACAACAUUAAGGAACGCAUAAAGAAACCGCUUUAGCUCUUUUGAUUCAUUUUAACAAUCGAAAGUGCGUCGUCUUGCUUACACUUUUUAGGAAUCUUACCAGCUGGUCAGCACUUUCUUCGUUUGUUUAAGGUGGAAGCUUCAUUCCAAAAAAUAAAAAUAAAUAUAAAUAGAUAAAAUAGUGGAAGCUAGGGGAAGGGGAAAAAUAAUAAUAAUAAUUGUUUUGUUAAUAAUACUAUCAAUACAUAAUUCAAAAAAGCUUAAUGGGUCUUAAAUAAUACGACAUGUGACUUGUCAUUAACUGAUAGAUGGUGUAAGAUUAUUAUUAUUAUUAUUAUAUUAUAUCAUAAGUUUUUAUCAACGGCACAUUACAUGACUAUAAAUUAUGUAUAUAUGAUUAUGUUAAUCAAGUAGGUAAAGUGUUCAUUUAGAUAUUAUAUUUUAGGUUAAGUAUAUGUUCAGUUACUAUAGUUAGAUAUUAUAAUAUGUUUUAUUAUUGUCCUUAUUUUUGUUUUGCUUUGACAAUAAUACCUUGUAACAAUCUUGGAGAUAUUAAUAUAAAAAUAUUAAUUUAUUACUUUUGUUGUUAAUUAUAUUACACCCUUUACUCUUACAUUUUAUUUGUUUCUACAAUAAUAAUACUCUUGUAAUAAUACAUUAAAGAAAAUAAAUAUAUUAAUUUAUUGAAUCAACCAUAAAAAAGUAAUAAUAAUUUACAAAUAAAAUAAUUAAUAUUAUUUAUUAAUUUAAACAUAUUAAAUUAUCAUAAUAAAAUAUAUUAUCUGCUGUACGAAAUUAUAAUAAUAAAAUAUAUUAUUGUAACAAUACAAUAAUAAGAUUUAAAUAUGUUAUUUAUCUAAUUAACCACAAAAGUAAAAAUAAUAAUAGUUUACAAAUAAAAUAAAUAAUAAUAGUAGCAUUAUCAUUAUUUUACCUUUACGUUUAAUUCGAUAAAUUAAUAUUUAUUUUUAUUAAUGUUUUACUGUCAAAACAAAUAAAAUAAAAUACUAAAAAGUUUAACAUAAUUAACAACAAAAAUAUUUUAAGAUAUAUUUUAAAAUAUAGAGAUUAAACGAAUACUAAUCAUCAAAAAUUGAAUUCUUUUGACUUCGAAUCAUAGUUUUCUUUGUUUCUUCGCUCUACUAUUAUUUUUUUUCCUUAUUUCCUUUUUGGAAAGAAGAAUGAUGACAAUUCUUAAAAACGAAGCAUGUGAAGACUCCUAUUCAAAUAACCAAGCUGCCAACUUAAUUGACUUUGGUCAAGAAUUUGUUUUUUUGUUUGCAUUUGAAAGGGAAUCGAAUAUCUCUCUCAAAAAAAACUCAAAAAAAAAAAAAAAAAAAAGGAAUCGAAUAACAUAAACGAGUUGUUAUUUUUUAUUUUUGACAAGAAAGUUACCGAAACUUUUCGAGCAAACAUAAAAAGAUUCGUAGCAAGUGAGAUUAUUUACAUUUUAAUAAAAGUUUAUGUCACUAAAAUGUUUCUAAUGUAAUUUAUUACUAAAGACAGUUUAAUAUAUUUGAGAAAUUAGAAAUAUUUUGGUUUUAACAAGAAAAUGUCUAUGCGGACCAAUUAAUAUAUACCCACAAGUUGAAAAAUGUAGUUGUAACUUUAAAAAGAUAUUUUGUUCUAUCUUAAUUAUUUAACGUAACAUGACAUAUAUUUUUGAAAUAUUAUUACUAUGCGAAAGUAAGUUUAUUUAAGACGGAAUCUACAAAAAAUAUAACUUAUUACAAUGUGGAGUUUAUUCUUAAUUAUAACUGGUUUUAAAUUGUGACCAUAAUUUUUUUUUUUUUUUGAUAAACAAAGGGCUCUAAAAGAGAAGAGUUAGAGGGGCACAAACCGGGGGUGUGCCACCCCAUACAUAUCCAAAUAUAAAAUAGAUCUCAACCCUAAAGGUGCAGAACGAAGAAAAUGUACUCCAACAGGUAAACUCAAAGCAUGCGUAGAAAGGAAAUCACCUGCCGAGUUUGCUUCGCGGUAGAUGUGACCAAUUUGAAUCCUCCAAUCCCUCCUCAUGAGUUCUCUAAUCAUCUCGAUUAUAUUCGAAGUUUCGUUGACAUGGGCAUUAUUUUCCUUUAUAAUUUACACCACACUACAGUUGUCUACUCCAACUUGGAUAUGUCUAUAGCCAAGAUCCCAUGCCAUUCUUAGCCCAUGCAAUACACCCCAAAGCUCAGCCUUUAGCACUGAACAAACUCCAAGAUGUGCGCUGAAGCCAUGAAUAAAAUUACCAUGACAGUCCCGCAGCAGCCCACCUGCACUCGCCUCUCCAUUUCCUUUCCUUGCACCAUCCGUAUUUAAGCACAAGAAAGGCCAUGGUGGAGGAGCCCAGUGAAUCCAUUUCUGAAUCCUUUCAUUUCUUCGAUAGCCUACGCUUGAAAGAGUAGAACAAAUACUCUCAGCCCUUGCCUUAAUAUCCCGGACCAUAAUUUUUUUUAUUAUUAUGAAGCGAUUAUUCCUAUAUAGAGUAUUUUUAUUUAGAGGUUCUACUAUAUACAGAGAGAGAUAGUGUAGCUUCUGCAUUCCGCCAAUGCGUGGGCUUAAGCUUGGCACCCCCUUAUAGUCGUUUCUUAUAUAAUAAAAUCAGAAUUCAAUAAGAAAGCUAAUUCCUAAAGAGGAAAGGAAUUACACGUUAUCACAACUUCUUAAUUAUGUUCUUAAUAAAUAAUUAACUAUACACAUAGUUUGUUGCUCUGAUGAACUCAAGCAAUUAAUCUUGUGUCAUCUCUGAUAUUGAUUCAUUCAUUAAACAUGGAAGUUUCUCUUCGUGCUCUUAAUAAUAAUGACUCUGCAAUUCUGGGGACACCGUUCUCGCUCUACGUUGGAGACCUCGACUCCACAGUAACAGAACAACAGCUCCUUCAGACCUUCUCGUUCUCAAAACUCGAAGGACUUGCUUCGGCUAUGCUCUGCAUUGAUAGCUUCCAUCGACGUUCACUCUGCUAUGGCUACGCCAACUUUCAUUCCUUUCACUGUGGUACGUGCAUGCAUGUUCAUAAUUUAUAUAUACAUAUUUUCCUAAAACUAUUUUAAUUACCUACGUAAAAUUAAUUGAAUCAAAUAUGUACUUUUAGUUAUAUGUGUACAACUCUUUGUUGUAUAAACUGAAUUAUUGCAGAUAAUUCCAUAAUACGGGAAACAGAACGUACACCAAUGACCAAUCUAUUCCUUAACCAGCUGUCUUUCCCAGAAUUUGAACUAGAGCAAUGAUUAGUCAGUUAAAUAAAAUUACUUGAAAACAACUUGACUAAACCCUAGGGUUUCAGGAAAUGUUAAUUAGAGUUAGGGCUACAAGUUUGGGACUUGGUCAAGAGCGAUAAUCAAAACCCUUGCAUGGGACGAGCCAGUGAUUAGAACCCAAACCUUACAAUUGUGAAGUCAUGGAUUUAAGCUCCCACAAUGUAUUGUGGGGGAUUUAAUUUCCUUCUUUAAUUGAGUAAAGAUAGUUUUUUCUUUUCGAAAUGUGAGUGGAGUAAACAUCAUUCGAAUCUUAAAGAGAGUAAAAAUUCGGGCAGUGUUUCAUAAGAAUUGAUGUAAACUAGUCCCAGUAAUAAUCUGAUUUAUAAAUCUAAUGUAAUAUGAGUUGUACUCUUGAGCAAUUGUCUCAUGCAAUUAAAACAAAAAAAAAAAGCCAUACGCGACAAUGUUCUUCUAAUUAAAUUCGAAACGAUUUGCUGGCUUACUUUCAUAACAAUUGAAAUAUAUUCCUAAUGAACGUCUUUAACUUUUAUUAUUUUUUUAUCAGCAACAAAGGCUAUAGAGGCAUUGAAUUAUACAAUACUGAAUGGUAAAGCAAUUAGAGUAAUGCAGUCGACACCCAAUUCUGAAGCCAGAUUGAGUUGGUAAAGUGUUCCUUAAGGUAAUUAAUUACAAAAAAUUUUCAUGGGAUAUGAAAACAUUUAGUUACUCGAUCAUCAUUUUGUCUGCUGUUUCCUAUAUAUAUAUAUAUACACACUUGGCAGAACUUGGCUAGUACAAUAGACAAUUGGAAGCUCCAUCAAAUAUUUUCCAAAUUCGGAGACAUUCAGUCCUCCAAGGUUGUUGUGUCUCAAGAUGGGAAAAGCAAAGGCUAUGGCUUUGUCCAAUACUCAACGCAAGAAUCUGCACUCAAUGCUAUUGAGAAGCUUUAUGCUGCUACCGUUGAAGGAAUGGAGCUGUAUGCGCCAUCUUUGUAUAUAUGCUAAUUUAUUUACUAUUUGUCGCAUUAAUAAUGUUCACCGGCAUUAAUUGGCAGCUAUGUUGGUCCAUUCAUCAGAAGGGCUGGUAGGAUUCAAGAAAGUGCUUCAUUUAACAACCUGUACGUCAAGAAUUUAGAUGAUGAUGUGACUGAGGAGAUUUUGGUAGAGAAAUUCUUUGAGUUUGGAAAAUAUUAAUUUGAGAGAAUGCAAAGAGAGCGUGCCGAAUUAUACAAGGUUUUUUUUUUCGUUAUUUGCUCUCUCAAUUAAUAUCGUUAUUUUCGUUUGUUAAAUCCUGCUAAAAUCAAGAUGUUUGUCAAGUGUAGGAUAAAAAUUUGUAUGUGAAGAACAUAAAUGAUGACGUUGACGAAAUUGAAUUGAAACAAUAUUUUAGCCAGUGUGGCAUUAUCAGCUCUGUUAAGAUCAUGAGAACUAAUCGAGGUAUUAGCAAAGGGUUCGGAUUUGUGUGUUUCUCUAAUCCUGAUGAAGCCAAUCGAGCCAUAAAUACUCUGAAUGGCAUCCUGUUUCAUCAAAAGCCAUUGUAUGUGGCCAUUGCUCAAACAAAGCGAGAAAGAACUUCGUACCUACGAAUAAUGUAUGCAAAGCAAGGGCCAGGACUUGCUAGCACCAAUUUUCCUGUGCAUCCGACCCUUUAUCAACGUGCACUACAAGUGUAUCAAGCACCAGGGUUCAGGCAUGGUGGCAUGAUUCCUAAUGGAUUUUCUUCUCCUCCUCCUUCUCCUUUGUUUCUAACGGUAACGUAAAAUCAAGUUUAGGAUGUAUUUGGAAUUGUUGCGCUUCUGCUUAACUUUGGGAUUUAUAAUUUUGUGUUACAGGCUCCUAAUUCUGUUAAGGCAAUAUAGAGGAGGAAGGAUGAAUGGGCAUGCCAAUUUUCGAAUGCCACUUAUGCUAUCAAAUCUACAGAAGCCUUCUUUUCCAUUUGCUCUUUAAACAAAAUGUUUCUUUAAUUCACACGACCAUUAUUGUAGAGGGCCGGGCAAGCUGCUGCCAACAACCUGACAAAUGGGAAUCAAAGAGCUGCUGCCAACAACAGCAUGCUUGCUGUUGCUUCCCCUGAUGAAAGGAAAGAUAUUCUUGGCCAAGGACUCUACCCGCUGGUGAAGAAACUCAAGGUGAUUACUCAUAUUUUUGUUGAAGGUCAAUUUCGAUUCAUUUUAGGUAGAAUGAUAAUCUUCAGUUUAUUUUCAUUUUCAUUCAAAAGAUUAGGACAAACGAAAAGAGUUUUGAUAAUUUUUUUUUAUCUUUUUAAUAAUAAAAGACAUCAAUUGAUGUUUUUAUAUUUUUAAGGUAAAUAGUAGAUUGUCUUUUAAAAUAAGGGAGUAAAUUGAAGUUUUAACCUUCUGCGAAUGUACUCACAAUUUUCACCUGUUUUAAGCUUUGGAUUAAUGAUAUUUACAUUUAACUUUUGGACAGUGUGGUCUUACACCAAAGAUUACUGAGAUGUCUUGGAAAUGGAUCACUCCGAGCUGCUCGUGCUGUUGGAAGAAGCAACGGAGUUGCUUGAGCUCUCAAAAAGUAAAGAAAGUAAUUUAGAAGCCACCGUACGGGAAGAAUAACGGGUAAUUGAAAGGAAAAAAGGAGGCAUACACAGUUCAAUACUCUUGCUGACUGCUUAAAUGUACUUGUAUACGAUCACCGGCUUUUUUAGGUUGCUUUGAAGAAAUUUUUAUGACAUUUUUUAAUUCAAUACCUUCGUUUUUGCAGUAUUUGUUCAUCAAUUUAUACGUCUUAGUUAAAAACAACUGCAUGUACCCAACCGUACACAUGCAUCAUUCGCCUCAUCAAACAAUUGGGGCAAACUUUGAUUUUCCUUCUAAAAACCAUUUUUUUUAUUAUAAUUUAUUAUUUUAAUUCACUAAUUCUCGAAAGUCACAAAAAAUCUUUGAUUAACCAAGGGCCAGUUUGGAAUUGUAGUUGAAAUUUAAUAAGCUGCUUAUUUCAUAAUUUUUAAUAAAAAUAAUAUUUAAAAUUUUUUGUAAAAUCAACUUAUUUCAUAAUUUUCUCCAUUUUGUCAGCAGUUUUUAAAAACAAGUAACAAAUUACUUUUUAUAAACAGCUUAUUUAAUAAGUUACCAUACAUUUUUAAAUUUCCUAUUAUAACCCUAGAAUUUAAUAAAAAGACAAUUAUAUUUUAUUUAUCUAUAAACCGUAAUAUAUGAAUCAUAACUUUAUUUUUAUCAUAUUUUAUGUAAUAAAUUAUGAAGUUCUAUAGAUUUUUUUAAUUGAGUUUUUUAAUGUAAUUUUACGCAUUUAAGAAAAAAAGAUAUGUCUCAAUAAUUUAUUAAAUAUACUUUAAAAAUAAAAAAGUAAUUAAAAUUUAUGUCUAUCUUAGUCAUUAUAUAAUAAAACAAUAAGAAAAAAGAUAAGUAUAAAUAAUUUAUUAAACAUACUUUAAAAAUAAAAAGUAAUUAAAACUUGUAUCUAUUUUACUCAUUAUAUAAUAAAACAAUACUUUCGUAAUAUAAUUUACCAAACACAUGUACUGUACUAUUCAAAUUCUCAGCAACCACAAUAGUACAGUUUGUCAAAUACUAAACUACUUUUUUUAUCAACAGCUUAUUUCACCUGCACAACACAAACUGCUUAUUUCAUAUGACUUCGCAAUCCCAAAUUGGCUCUAAUUUUUCUUUGACUACUGUAGUAAUGAUCAAAGCUUAAACUACUUUUCAAUUUGAUUCUCUCUCCAAAAUCAACUUCAUCUUUCUCAAAAUUCUAACAAAUUUAGAACAGUCUAAAAACUCUUAUUUUUUAUUUCUAAAUGAUUAACAUUGUCUCUUUCAUCUUGUUUCUAAUUACCGUUGAGCUGAAUUUAUUACUUUUUGAAUAAUUAGAAAAUUCAAUACUUACUUCACAUAUUACAAUAAAUUUUGGUUAAGGGAAAGAGAUCGAGAGAGAAAAUAAGAUCAAAUAUAUAAUUGAUCCAAUUAUGUUUUCAGAAUAAAAAUGUUAAUUGAAAAAAGAGUGCAGUGAGAUAAUCAGCACUGUCCAAAAAUGUUAAUUUAAAAAAGCGUGCAGUGAGAUAAAAUAACCCCACCAAGAAAUGAAGUUUGUUGGCAUUUAAAUUUACAAGGCAUUAACCAGCAUUAACCACGACAAUAUGCAGCUAACAUUUUUAACAUAAGGAGAAUCAGUUUCUACCCUUGAUGUCCAAUUUGAAACUACUCCCAAAAUAACAGUACUGUCCAAAAACGGCACCACACUGUACUCCAUAUACCAAAACACGUCGAGCUUUGAUGAAAACCAUGACAAAGAGGAUUGAUGCUGGAGACUACUUUCAGCAGUAAAACAUUACAUCUUUCACAUUAUCCUUGAUGACGGGAAGAGGCCGGAUAGCCAAACUCCCCUCCGCCGUGCUCCUAGUCCCUCCUGUGGAUCCACCCGCAGAUGUUUCAUCCUCGAUAUAAAAACGAGCCCGAAAAGCUGCUAAAUGUGCAUAGUAUGCAGGAGGCACUGCCAUAUGAAAACAGCCAAUAAAAAUAAAUAAAAAAGAAAAAAAAAUAAUCAAUGCUAGCCAGAAUAAUAAUAAUUCAUUGACUUAAAAUGUUUUUAGUAAAACAAUAGAAGCACAAGGGACAGACCUAUUGAAACUGAUCGAGUACACCUUGCAUACCUGAAAAUGGGCCACGAGUCAAAAACUUACAAAAUAACCACUUGAAAGAUAAAUUCUUCAACAAUGCAAUAUUAAAUCCGAUUAGAGAGAAGGUAAACAUAUUACGUGUAACACAAGUUAUUUGUUAACAUUUGCAAGUUUGUUUAAUUUUUUGUUUUUUUUUGUUUUUAACUGGAUUGAAAGAGCAAAUUUAAAUUUUUUUUUUUAAACCUGAAUUCCUGCAUGGCUGUUGAGGUAAAAAUCGAAUUCUGUAGGGUGACAAAUUUGAGUAUCGACAACAGUUCCUAACACAAGAACAUCCCAAAAGUAUUCAUCAAAGACAAGGUUAAGCAACAACAUGGUUCCCAGCCAUUGUGCAUACUCAAAAGACGCAAAAAGAAAAUAAAGAUUAAUAAUACAAAGCAAACUUGGAACCUGGUAAAAUAUUUCCACUCCUAUCUGUCAGAUCACGUCUGUUGUACUCAGCAGGAAAAAGGCGAGUAUGAUGCCUUUUCUGUACCACAACAAACGUAACUGGUGGUGCAUAUCCCUCCUCAAUUGAGGCACAGGCCUGGAAAUAAGUCAAUUUAGCAUGUUGCAACAGAAGUCAUCAACAAGAAAUCAACUGAAACUAGACAUUGAAAAUCUCCAGAACACAAGAAAAUUGUAUUAACUUCAGAACUCAUCAGUAUUACCUGCCGGAUAGCAUUCAUUUCAUGGAGCAAAACCUGACUGAACUGCCCUUCACUAACACCAUCUCUGGCACAUAAAUUAAACGACAUCAGUAACAUUAUACAAAACAUGCAGUUUAACGUUGAAAACAGCCAUUACCGGUAGAAAAUAAUCCUGUGAGGUUUGAAGUUGGUUGAUCUUCUGAAGUCAAUUAACAGUUCCCUGUAAAAGACAAACAGAAGCAUAAGAUUCUCUUAAUAAUAAGGCACCUGAUAUGUACUUCCAUGUCUACUAACCGGAUCAUCCCUCCAUGAACUAAACCCCUCUGAGGAUCUUUAAUAGAUUUAUAGAGAUCUUGGAUAAUUUCCUCAUUAUGUGCCUGAGAAGAGACAAGUCCUCUGUACUUGGUUACUUCUGGCCAAUCCAUUGAGGCCACCACCUGUCUCAGUCAAUUCAAUCUUUUAACAGAGUGAAUUACUAGAAAGCAGAAACAGAAAAUGAGUGCACAUACGGCCGCUAUUGAAGGGCUAGAGUCUUCUCCUGGUUGUGGAUGGGUGACAUCUGCACCAAAUAUAAUUGUAGGUCUAUCAGUCACAAGAGGAAUUCUUUUCUGAACAGCAUCAACGAGCACAGUGUUUCGUCCUCCAACCUGAUAAAAUUACAAAUAGUAAACUGAAUCUCCAGGACCAAUAAGCAAACCUAUCAAUUUUAACACGAAAUUUUGGCACUCCCAAACACUUAUAAAAAUAUCUUGAACAUCAGAAUUUGAUUAUUUGAAAAAAAAAUUACAAUAAUUCCAGCAAAGCAAGACUGAAAUUAAAUUGCCAAAAAAAAAAAAACUCAUCUCCUACAUGUUUUCCUGCUAACCCUUGUAUUUGUUCUCAAAUAUUAACCAUGAUAAUGAACACACAAAAAAAUGGGGGCAAACCAAACCUUCACAUUGAUUUUAAGAGCCACAUUUUCAAAAUACUGCAUAUUGCGACUGGAUGCGUGCUUAGGCUGACAGCAUUGUGAAACAAUCCCAAGUUCUGUUUCACAAACUCGCUUAAUUCUUCCUGCGAGCAGAAAGCCGAUAAUGUUGAACAAAACCAAACCUGACAUAAAAGUUUAAUCAUGGAUUAAAUUUAUCACUCACCAUAUGAUCUGCUAACAUCAGGUAAAAUAAUUAUCAACAGCUGAAGCUGUUUCCCUGGCUGAGUAGUCUUACUGUGAACGUCUACAAGUUCCUUCUCAAUUUGAUUUGGGUUGUAUGAACUUAUGGGAAUGACAGGCUGCGGGUUAAAUACCUAGCAUGACAAACACAGACCCCCCCAAAAGAAAAAAGUCGGUUCAGAGAGACCAUUAACCUGAAUUGCUAACAUGAAUUGCAAAACAAAGAACAUUACCAUACCAUUCCCUUUUUCUUGCACAUGUCUACCAACCGUUGACAGAACCGGCUCACAUCCUGGUUCAAACACGUUGAGAAGUUCAUACAAGUCCAAACUUGCACUGUCCCACCAUUGAACAUUUUCUGUACAACCAAAAUUACACAAAAUAAUUCAGUGUGAACAAAAAAAUGCUUCCCAUUCUGAAGGCAAAGUGGAUUGAGCUGAACACCAAGCACAUACAAUCCGAAUACCUAAGUGAAUAUCAGAUACAAUGCUUGUCAAAGAUGAAAAAGUAUAUAACUAAAUAGAAAUUACAGCAUGCUAAAACAGGAAAAAAAAAAAAAUUAUGGUUGCAAAAGAAAUGCAGCACAUCCACAUUGCAUCAAAUGUAGCAAAUCAACUUCCAACCCAUCCUACCCAUCAGUCAAUAAACAUCCCUCAACCAGAUUAAACAAGUGGUAACUGCUUCCCUAUGCUCUUCCAAAGCACAAAUCAACAACUACGGAAUAAAAUAAUAAUCAGUAAUUCACCUUGUUAAUCAUGUUCCAUUGCCCAAAAUCAGGAUUCACGCUUGCUUCUCUGCCAGAUUCAUGAUAUUUAAGCUGCAGCAUUACAGGAGGUAAAGUUAAGCACAAGGAGAUUGGAAGCACCACAAUCCUGUUACAAAUAAAACAAAAUGACACAUAAUUACCAUUGGAGCAGGUAGGAUUCGAGCAUCAAACGAUGUAAGACCAUCAGCCACUUGAAUUCCAAACUCCUUGUUCACAAGAGUAUCUUUAUUGUAAGCAUUUUUCCUAGCCAUCUGCAGAAGAAUGUCAAACCCAGAAGCAAGAAUCAGAAACUCUCUUUGUUCAUAAGAAGAUAGCUCCCAGAUUAAUCAUCCAAAAAAGAUCCACCACAGAUGUAAGAAAUUACAACAAUGCUCUACCGUCUGUAUAUUUGCUUCACGAUCCCGAGGACGCUGACAGGUUGCUCUUAAAAGAGCAGUUACUUGUCUUUCAUUUAAUCUUUUAGUAUAUCUCUGUCCCUCGACAAUCCUAGAAAGCUGGAAACAAAAAUAUUCUAUAAAUAAGUCUUAAAUAAAUUAUUUUCCAGACACAAAGAAUGAAAAUAGUCUUUUGAUCAUAGAACCUCCAUUGGCAAAUAAAUGCGCCUCUCUUCAGUUCCAGCUUCAAGGGCAGGCAAUGACGUGAAUUGAAGCGCAAUAUUAUGUCUUUCAAGAAAAUAUUGAACCACCGACAUCUCUGUCACACUGCCAUCUGUAAACCUAGCAAAUACAAUCAAAGGGAAGAUAUAACGUGAAUGCCUACUAUAACAUGGAAGGAGGGAUACAUCACUGUUACACGCAAUAUCAAGUGACCAUCGCACUACAUAGUAGCCAACUACUAUCACAUAUCAGAUUUGAGAAAUUGAUUUGAGGCACAUCCGCCAAAAUUUUUACCACCAAGUAGUUCAAUCAUACAUAAAAUACAACACAAAAGACAAAUUUAACCAUAUGUGGAAUUCAGAUGACAACAAAAGCAGGCAACAUAAAGUAUGCUUCUCAAAUGGCGUGGGGGACUCAAGAAUCAGCUAACAUAAACAAAUCGACCAACAUAAACACAACCAAACCACCAAGUUAUGUUAUCACACUCUAUCACCACAAGUUGGACAGUGUUCUUACACUUGUAUAUCAGUUAAUUACACACACACAUACAUUACUUGGCUCAUCGGUUGACUGGUUAUUCCAGUGAUCUUGCAAUUUAAGUUGUACCCCAUAUGCCUGAGCACUACCUUUAUUCCCUUCAAUGCCUUUUUCACCUAGAAGUCAAGAAUUAAACAAUUAUAUUAAUAUCAUUGAGCACGUGUCUCUAUCCCAUUCCCAGCAAUAAUUUUGAAAAUAAUUAAAGGGCAGUUGUCAAAUAGCGGCCAAAAUAGAUCGAAAGUAAAAAGUUUACAGAUAGUUCAAAAGAUUGCUAAUAUACGUAACGGAAUGAUAAUAAGUUGAUCAAGAUAACUGUACAAUUGCAAAUGAAUGCGUGGAAGAUUUUUAAAACCGCCAUUUCAAGAUCUCAUUUCUUUAUCAUCAGAAUUAUAGGCCAAAUUAUACACCAACUUCCGACAUUAAUCAUUAAACACUGUCAUCAACAUUCUGUUCCCCCUAGACUUGGGAGCUCAUUCUAUUUAGAUUUCAAUGGCCAAGAACAACACUACUCACUACCCACCAGUUCAGCCACAAAUUAAGAAAUUACCCUAUCCAAAAUUUGCAAGAAAUUUGAAAUUUUAAACUGCUAAUUACUUGCAAUUAAUUAUACACAGCAUCUAAAACAUUACUUAACUGUUUUCCUAACAAAUCUGUGAUCAUUCUUUGAAAAGGCUCUUAUCGCAAAUAUAUUACGGUGCUGCAGCCCUCAAUUAAAACUUUUAACCGCCCAAUAGAUAGCUCAUUAAAUUGAUACUAAAUUAAUUAUAACCAAGACAUCACGAAAGAAGACUAGACAAUACCUUCAGACGCACUUGAUCAGAAAGAGGACGUGAUAAGUCGCUGCAAUAAUACUGAACAAACUCAGUAACUAGAAUUGGCUUAUAAAAGGAGCUGGCUGAAACAUCUGCAACAGCAAAAGCAAAUAUUUAUGUAGCAACGUUGCACCUAAAAAAGAAAAUCAAGUUUGCAUAAUAUAAAAGAGAAGCAGCAUCAAAUUAUAUAAAAUAUAAUGAGAAAUACCAAUAUUAAGAGAUAGCCCCAUCUGGGUUGGGCGAAGACUCUGAAAAUAUCCACGCCAAUAUUCAACGUCAUCACCAAGCUGACCCAUUGGUCCAAGAUCAGCUGAGAAAAAUGACCUUCCCAGAACUGUAUGCCUGAUGCAGAAGUUCAUCAUUUCAUUAAUUAAUCAUUCUAAAACCUAAAUUGUUCAAGACACAAAAUAGACAAUCAUAAAAUUGUUCCUCAGAAAUAAAAUGCUAAAUCAGUUGCAUGAACAAGCAAAUGCCGGCAUGGGCAGGCAACAUCCUAUUUCAUACAAACCAAAAAGUGAAACUUUUAUUAACACGGUUAAGGUUAAAUACUUCUCUGAUGGAGCUGCUCUGAGAACAACAUCAAGCACUUGUAUAACAUGGUACGGAGCUUCAAAAUGCAUUCGGCGUAAGAACUGCUGUAGAGUGUAAAGAUCAGGCAUCGAUGCCAAUCUGAUAACCACCCUAAACUGACCCUCCCUUCUGCAUAAGAAAUUACUCAGACACAUUAAAUCAAGAAAACUCACAAUCAACAAUAUUCAAGAAACACACAUGUUAAAAGCAUGAGAUACCCCGGGCUGGUAGACGAGCUGGGAUGAGGAUCACUAUCAGGUAAAUUGAUAAUGAAUUCCUUCGAUUCAAAAGGCAGCGGCCCUGCCGUGUAAAUGUUCUUCAUACCAUCAUAGGCAGGUAUUCGUCCACCCAAGUUAGUCAGCCCAUAUAAAUUAAUCAGGUGAGAAAUAAUUUGUCUGUUGAUUUUUUUUGACGUCACCUCUGAAUAUCGAUUCGAUUCGAGAUCUUGGACUUGAUCAAUUGAAACCUUAAAAAAUAAAUAAACAAGGAAAACAAUAAACAUGUUUUUAAAAUAGCAAUAAAACCCCGACAUCUUCGAAUUCGACGCUCACGAAUGGUGAAUCUUAAAUAAAAUCAAAAUUGACGAGAAAAACGGAAAAUAAAAAAUAAAAGGAGUCAAAACGUUUUCGAAAAUAACAAAGUUAAAAUUAAAAGUAGACUUACAUCAUAGUGAUGAAUGUCUCUCUCGGCAAGUUGCACCAUAAAGUGAUUUGCUCGGACAACACAUUUUCUGCCAACGGUUCCGAUUCCCGGCCUCACCGGAAGUCUCAAUUCCUGCGACGACAAAGGGGGAAGAGUAGCCGCCGCUGGUGCCGCCAAUGACAGUUUCUGCUCAGUUUCUUCGACAAGAGUAGAAACUGAAGACGAAGAAGGAGAGGAUUCUGAAACAGACGGAGACGAAGGAGCCGGCGCCGUCGAAGUCGAAGCGGUGUGUGGUGAGGACGGGGCUGCACCGGAGCCGGAAUGCGAUCCACGACCAGCACCCCCACGUUGACCUUGACGACCUCGGCCCCGUGGUCCCGCGGCUCCGCCACCACCGCGCUGGAAAGACGGCGCCGGUGCCUGAGUCGGCUGGUCACGGCAAGAAUCCCGCCUACGACCACCGCCACCACGUCGAGACAUUGUCGAAAGCAGAAAGGUAAAAUAUCAGAGAAAAUUUUGGGGAACCGAAGUGAAGUGAUGGUCACGCAAAUAAAGCGCGAGAGCUACGACUUGAGGAGAAAGUAAGUGUCAGAGAGCUACGACUGGACAGCUACGGCAAGAAUCCUGCACACCUGAUCAUUGUUAUAUAUGUAUAUAUGUACACAAAAACACAUUGGCAAUUGGGCAUUAAAAUUUAUUUGAACAUAUUAUAUUUAGCCUAUUUAAUAAUUUAAACCACUUUCUAAACUUAUAAAUUUUCCUUUUAAAUAUGUUAUAUAUUUGGUCCAUUUAUUAGUUUAUUGUAUGUGUUAUGGACUUGAAAGUGGUGCUCAAGUCAUGACUUAAUUGAUUGAUACAAUUACCUAUCUCAUAACUUUAAAUUUUUAAAAGGGUAAUGAUACAGCCACAAACUCUUGUACAAAUUUAUUUUGUACAAACUGACGUGACAUUAAUUCAUUGAUUGAAUGAAAAUAUAAAUUAAUAAAAAUAAAUCAUGUGGGCCAAAUGAUAUUUAAUUCAACCAAUCUUAUCAUGCUACAUCAUUUUGUACAAAAUAAGUUUGUACAAGAGUUUGUGGCUGUAUCAUUACUCUUUUUAAAAAUAUCAAGACAAAAGUCAUCAGUUUUAACUUUUUAAAUAGUUGAGUUUGAUUUAUUUGAUCAACUAAAUUUCUUACUAUAUAUGAUAAGUUUUUUAUAUUUGCCUCAAAUAUUUAUAUUAAUUUUAAGUCAUUACUUGAAAAUAACAAACAACAAUCUAUAGCUGAAACUUUAAAUUGUUAAUUAAGUUGACAAUGAAGUUAUUAUAGUAUGUAAUUUUAUAAAACUGCAAAUGAGUUGAGAAAAAUUGUAAUUAUGUUGAAAAUCAGUAAUUCAAUGAAAUUCAAUAAUUUGACACCUAUUAUUUUUUGUUGAAAGUUUUUUUGCAAUUGUAUCAUACUAAACCUCUCCUAGAUAAAAUUUUUGGGUUCGUCCCUAUCAAUGUGUCUGCAUAUAUGUAUAUAACAUUCAUAUUAUUAGUUAACUAAAAAAAAAUAAACUAAGUAAAUAUUGAAUCAAUAUGAUAAUAUAAUAUAAUAAUAUUUACAGAUACUUCGUCAUGUACUUAUUAGACAACUAUUUUUAAAUACGAAAAGAAUUAUCCCACAUUAUCUCUAAGGUCCUCAUGGGAUGAAAUUUUUCCUCAUAAAAGUAUGGGUCCAAGAUUAAAUAGCGUGGUCUCAGGAUACAUGAUCCUCACUUCUCUGAUCUCUCUGUGGCACGAAACGAUAGACCGGACUAAUUUUAAAAAGAAUAGUCUAAUCCUCCAACUCUAUACGACUGCUUAACGUGCGCCUAUAUUCUUUUUUUUUUGUUUAAUAAGGGCUCUGUAAAAAGAGCUAAAUCGGAACAAUACGGGGUUUAGCAACCCCAAUCAUGUCCUGCAAAAUAACUGAAUAAAUGCCCACAGGCGGGCUAGUAAAAAAAUGCAUCCCAUUAGGGAGAGAAAGAGCCAUAUUGGCCAUGAAAUCUGCAACUGAAUUCGCUUCGCGAUAGAUGUGAGUUAGGCAGACUUGCCAGUUCCUAUCAAGAAGAUCCCGGAUUGCAACCACUAAAGCAUAGGAAACAUUGGGCACGACUACCUGCUUGGAAAUCAUUUGUGUAACAUACAGACUAUCCACUUCCACCAAUAGCCAUUUUAUGCCAGCCUCCCACGCCAAGAUUAGCCCUUGAUAAAGACCCCAUAGCUCCGCCAUAGCCACCGUACACUCCCCAAUAUUCAUACAAAAUCCCGAAAUCCAAUUUCCAACAUAAUCACGAAUAACGCCCCCAGCUCCUGCCUCAUAUGAAUUUCUAACGGAACCAUCCGUAUUUAAUUUGCACCAAGGCCAUGUAGGAACCUGCCAGCCGACAAACAUCUCUCUUCUCUUCGGUUGCUGACUCAUAUGAGAAAAAUUAAUUCUAUGAAUUUCAUUUGCUCUAGCCAUAACAUCCAUAAUGAUUGCUGAGCUAUCCACCAAUUUUCCUUCGACCAUGAAAUGAUUUCUCCAGAACCAUAGCCUCCAAACGGCCACCCCAAAAACACACUCCCAAGGAAUGUGAGAAGCAAGCUUUGACUUGUUCUGAAGAUUAACUACAAUCCAGUCCCGGAGAUUAGCGUGAAAGAUAGAGUUAUAAUCACCCUCUGAAACAAGACACAACCAUACCCGUUUGAUGCACGGGCAGUCUCUCAAAGCGUGAAGAAUGUCUUCAACCGGAGCCCCACACCUAUCGCAUGCCAUUGACACAGGAAUAUGACGUCGAACUAAUUCGCCAUGAGUUUUUAAGCUACCAUGCAUAAUCUGCCAGAGGAAAAGCCGAACCGACUGUGGUCCCUUCCACGACCAUGCAAGGCUCCACAUUUCCUCUUUGAUGGCGGGAUUUUGGCUGCAGAUGGAGUCAUAUGCUGAACGGACAGUAAAGAUGCCUCUGUGGUCAAAACUCCAAAAAAUUCUAUCAACACCUAGCUGAGGCGCGGGAGGCAUAACUGAUGCAAUUUGCAUGAGGAUAAAGUUAGGUAGCAAAUGCUCAAAUCUCGGCCAGUUCCAGCCCCCAUGUUCAGUGACAUACUCACUCACCGGAUCAUUGAUACGCUCGUGCGGGAUUGGCUGGAUGGCAAGCGUUAUCAAGGGUUCGUGCUUUGUUGCCCAACAGUCAAACCAGAACCGGACUCUCCCCCCGUUGCAAACUGACCAGCGAGCUCUAUGCAUGGUGUCUGCCCACGUUUUCCUGAUAGCCAUCCAGAUCCUAGACCCUUGUUUCUCCGGAAGUGUAAGCGGUAAGUUUCCAAUAUCCAAACCAUAUUUAGAACAAAACACCUUUACCCAUAAUUUUUCCGAAUUCGAAACAACUUCCCACGUUAGCUUCAUCAACAACGCCUGAUUCAUCACAUCCAACUUUUUAAAUCCCAAACCUCCGUGGGUCUUUGGCUUACAAAUUCUGUCCCAGCCCACCAUACUUAGCUUGUGCCUCUUCGAAUUCCCAUCCCAAAUAAACCGGCGACAUGCCGUGUCAAUUUUCUGCCGCACCGGGGGGGGAAGUAAAGUUGUUUGCAUUGCAUAGAUAGGCAUUGCCUGAACCACCGAUUGCGCCAAAGUUACUCUUCCAGCAAAAGAUAAAUGCGCGGCAUUCCAUCCAGUAAGCCUCAUGUUCACCUUAUCCAAAAUGGACUGAUAAGUAGCUUUAUUCACCCGCGAGUGAAUUAGAGGCAUGCCAAGGUAAGAACCCAAAUCCUUAGUAGCCGAAAAACCCAAUGCGUCACCAAUAAGCUGGCCAUCUCUAAUUGAUACAUUUUUAGAGAAAAAAACUUUGAUUUUCGAUUUAUUAACCUUUGCUUCAGAGCUUCGGCAAUAAUUCUCCAACACUUCGUCAAUUAUAUAGGCUUGAUCAACUGAGGCUUCUGAAAAUAAAAGUAAAUCAUCAGCGAAAAAAAGGUGAGUUAGGGGAGUUCCAUGUUUGGCCAACCGGAUUGGUUUCCAAAAGCCUUCCCUCACAGCUUUAGAAAUACCAUGACUUAAACGCUCAAUGCAAAGCACAAAAAUGUAUGGAGAUAGAGGAUCUCCCUGUCGAAUUCCUCUCCCCGGGGAGAAUUCCUCUGUAACCUCUCCAUUCCACAAAAUGCUCAUUUUAACUGUAGUAACACACUCCAUGAUGAGCCUAGAUAGCUGAAUCGGAAAACCAGCCAGCUGAAGAGUUUCGAAGAUAAACGACCAAUUGAGCCGAUCAUAUGCCUUCUCAAGAUCGACCUUGAUAGCCAUAAGCCCUCGCUUGCCUGUCUUCCGUCGCAUAGAAUGAACUACUUCUUGGGCAACAACAAUAUUAUCGAUAAUGUGGCGGCCAGGAACAAAACUGGUUUGAUGUGGGCCUAUAAUUUCAGGCAGUACAGCUUGUAAACGGUUCGCAAUUAUUUUAGUCACAGUUUUAUAGGCUACCGUACAUAAGCUGAUAGGUCUAAACAUUUUUAAACUAGUAGGAUGCUCCACUUUAGGGAUCAACACUAAAAGAGUAGUAUUGACCUCUUUAGGGAUCCUACCAGAGUUAAAAAUGUCAACAAUGAACUUGCAGAAGGAAGGUCCAACCACUGCCCACUGAGACUGAUAGAAGAUAGCUUGCAACCCGUCUGUGCCUGGAGCCUUAAGCGGCUUCAUACUAAAAACAACAUUCUUGAUCUCUUCUACCAAAACUGGUUUAGCGGCACAAUCAAUAUCAAAAGCUACCAGAUUUGGGAAAUAAUUGGGGACAAAAUAAGUGCAGGGGUUUACCACCUCACUUGUGAAAAGAUCUGAAAAAUACCCCAUUGCAUGAUUUCGGAUUUCUUCCUCAUUAUAAAGCCAAUUUCCCGAACUGUCCUGGAUGGCUUCAAUUCUAUUCCGUCGCCUACGGACAAUAGUUUUUUGGUGGAAGAACCUAGUAUUUCUAUCCCCAUGCAUAAUCCAAUCCUUCCUUGAUUUUUGCCACCAAAGAAUCUCCUCCUGCCCCAUCACUGUCUCCAAUUCUUUCCGCAACUGUGCCUCUAAGCGCAUUAACCCCCUCGAACUAUAAUUCUCCAAGGCUGCUUGAAUUCCGUUAAUUCGAGCCAUUAAGACACGUUUCCGCUGAAAAAUAUUCCCAAAAACCGCUCGAUUCCAAACUUUAACCUCUUUGACAAAAUUGGAUGCCGCAUCGCUAUAAGAAGCUUUAGGAUCCCACGUCUGCUUAACAAAAUUAUUAAACUGAUCAUUUGUUAACCAAGAAGCCAAAAAUCGAAACGGUCUAUUAGCAUGAUGUCCCCGUACAAUUCUUCCAAAACGAACUAGAACCGGUCUGUGAUCCGAAGCAACUUUUGGCAGAUGGAGAACUGAGUUAUCUGUAAACUUUAAAAGCCACUCAUUAUUACAUAAGGUUCUAUCUAGCCUUUUAAGAAGAAAGCCACGAGACCGUCUGAAGCGAGGGCCUUUGAACUUUAAAUCAAAUAUUUGGUUGUCAUCAAACCACUGCCGAAACAAGCCACACCCUCUUGAUUGUCCUGCAGCUCCCCCAUGUUUCUCUGAUGCGUACAAUAUAGAGUUAAAGUCGCCACCAAUCAGCCAAGGUUCUUUAACAGAUAAAGCAAGGCUAUCCAAGUGAACUAUCAAACAUGGCAAUUGUUUCAUUGUUUAUGAUAAUUCUAAUAGUAAAUUUUAAUUUUACAGUACUAUAGAAGGACCAGACAAUGGACGUAAUUUGUGUGUUUCUCCAAUCCUGAAGAAGCCAAUAGAGCCAUAAGCACUUUGAAUGGCAUCCUGUUUCAUCAAAAGCCACUACACUUGGCCAUUGCUCAAACAAAGCAAGAAAGAAGUUCAUACCCCCAAAUGAUGUAUGCAAAGCAAGGGCCGGGAGUUGCUAGCACCAAUUUUCUUGUGUAUCCGACUCUUUAUCAACGUGCAUUACAAGUGUAUCAAGCACCAGACUUCAGACAUGGUGGCAUGAUUCCUAAUGGGUUUGUUCCGUCUCUUCCUCCUCUUCCUCUGUUUCGAAUGGUAAUGUACAAUCAAGUGUAGGCUAUGAUUGGAAUUGCUGACUUUGCGGUGAAUGAUUCAGAGUUUUUUUUCUUUUUUUUUUUAAAGGUAAGAGGGGGUGGGUAAGUCCAAAUACAAUUUUUUACUCCCUUACCAGUUACCACCCCCAAAAAUCGAGCCCAAAUUUUGAUAGAAGCUACAGUUGCACUGUAACCAAUCCGACCACGCCCUUGUGGGCCGACGAAUGAUUUAGAGUUACAGUCUCCUAAUUCUGUAAGGCAAACUGGAGAGGGAGGAUGAACGGGCAAGCUAAUUUUCCAAUGCCAUUUAUGCUAUCAAAUCUAUAGAGGCCUUUUUGCAAUUAUCCAAGCUAUCAGUAGUUUUUUUUUUUUUUAAAUUUCUGCUUGAUACUAAAUGAAUUGUAUUCCAUUUGCUUUUUGAAACAAAAUGCUUCUUAAUAACUGUUUAAUUCAUAUGACCAUUAUUGUAGAGGGCUGGGCAAACUGCUGCCAACAACCUGACAAAUGGGAGUCAAAGAGCUACUGCUUCCAAUGAUAAUCUUAUUUCUGCGAAAGGUCAACUUCAAUUUAUACCAGAUAGAAUAAUAAUCUUCAGUUGACCUUUCAAUUUAUUUCCAGUCGUUCAGAAGAUGAUGAUAGAUAAAAACUGCAUUGAUGAAUUCUUUUUGUCUUCUUAACAGUAAAAGGAGCUAAAUUGAUGUUUCAUAUAUUCGAGGUAAAUAGUAAAUUGUCAUUCUAGUAAAUUGAAAUUUAACUUUCUGCAAAUGUACUUGUAAUUUUCAGCUUUGGUUUAGUACUAUUUACAUGUAACUUUUGGGCAGUGUGAUCUUUCACCAAAGAUUACUCAGAUGCUUUUGGAAACGGAUCACUCCGAGCUGCUUGUGUUGUUGGAUAUAAAAGAUAAAAGGAAUAAUGAAAAGCUUCAACUUUAUUGAAUGGUUUUUCAUCAUUAUGCAUACACGAGGGAAGAAAAUUACAAAAGGAAAGCUUGACUAUAAACAAGCUAUAUUCUAAAAGUUAUUUACAUAAUAAUGAUUAAUAUACAAAUUAAAAAUUAAUAAGUUAAAGCCAAUAAUUAUGAAGACCAUAAUGAAAUAUAUUGGCGAUAAUCAUAGAGACUAUAAAGCGGAAGAAGCAAAGAAAGUAAUUCAGAAGCCACCGUCCAGGAGGAAUAAAGAGCAAUUGAAGGGGCAAAAAAGGAAGCAUGCACGGUUCAAUACUCUUAUGGACUGCGUAAUUGCUUUUGAAUUCAAUUCUUUCGUUCUUGCAAUAUUUGUUCAUCUAUUUAAGCAUCUUAAUUAAAACAACUGCAUGUACCCGGCUGUAUACACGCACCAUUUACCCAGUCAAACAAUUGAGGCAAAAUUUAAUUUCCUUUCUGACACCCAUUUUUUAAUUAUAAUUUUAUUAUCUUAAUUCAUUAAAUCUCAAAAAUCACCAAAAAAAAAAAAAAAAUCCUUGAUUAAUUAAUUCUUCUUUCCCUACGGUAACAAGGGUCAAAGCUUAAACCAAUUUCUCUUUCUUUCAAUUUUUCUUUUUCAUUCUCUCUCUCCAAACUUUAUCUUUUUCUUACUUUUCAUUAUAAUAUUAUCAUUUAUUGCCCAUUACUAUCAUUCAAAAUUUAUUCUGUCCAAGAUCUGACAAAGAAAAUUCUAACAAACUUAGAACGGUGUAAAAUAUCUUAUUUUUUUAUUUUUAGAUGAUUAACAUUGUCUCUUUCAACUUGCUUCAAAUUACAAUAGAGCUGAAUUUAUUAAUUUUUGAAUAAUUAUAAAAUAUAAUAUUUACUUCAUAUAUCAUAAUAAAUUUUGGUUAAAGGAAAGGGAUGGAGAGAGAGAGAAAAUAAGACUAAAUAUAUAAUUGAUCAAAUUUUAUUUUCAGAAUAAAAAUGUUAAUUUAAAAAAAAAAGGAGCAGUGCGAAAAUCAGUGGAUCCAAAUUAAAAAAUAACCCGACCUAUAGCAAAGUAAGAGCAUAAACAAAAACCUUUCUUUCGAAAUACAUAUGGAGUUCGUUUUGCAUUUAAAUUUACAAGGCAUUAACUGGGAGAAUAUGCAGCUUAUAGUUUUAAGCCAAGGGUGAUUAGUUUCUACCCUUGAUGCCUAAUUUGAAACUAUGGAAACCAUGACUAAAACAAGAGAGGCUGGAGCCUGCUUUCAGCAGUAAAACAUUACAUCUUUCACAUUAUCCUUGAUGACGGGAAGUGGCCGGAUAGCCAAAUUCCUAUCUGCUGUGCUCCUACUCCCACCUGUGGAUCCACCAGCAGAUGUUUCAUCCUCAAUAUAAUAUCGAGCCCGAAAAGCUGCUAAAUGUGCAUAAUAUGCUGGAGGCACUGCCAUAAGAAACCAACCAUUUUUAAAAAAUAAUAAUAAUAAGUCAAUGCUUGCCAGAACGAUAAAUAAUUCAUUGAUUCAAAAUGCUUUUAGCAAAACAACAGAAGUUCAAGGAUCAGACCUAUGGAAACUGAUCGAGUACACCUUGCGUACCUGAAAAUGGCAAUGAGUCAAAACUUACAAAAUAACCAUACGAAAGAUAAAUUCCUCAGCAAUGCAAUAUUAGAUCCAGUUAUAGAGAAGGUAAACAUAUUACGUGUAACACAAGUUAUUUGUUAACACUUGCAAGUCAUCUGCAGAAAAACGGUUCUCAUCGUACAACACAUGGUAGUGAAUUGGGCGACUGGUUCCCUGUAAUGAAUGCCUUAAUCAGUCCAACACUUUCAAAAUUAGGGGAAAAAAAGGAAGAAUAAGUGUACAUUGUUCAAUGAGAGUAAGUGUGGAUAGAUAAUAAAAUUUGGAUUGAAAAAGCAAACUUAUUUUUUACCCGAAUUCCUGCAUGGCUGUUGAGAUAAAAAUCGAAUUGUGUAGGGUGACAAAUUUGAGUAUCAACAACAGUUCCUAACACAAGAACAUCCCAAAAAUAUUCAUCAAAGACAAGGUUAAGCAGCAACAUGGUUCCCGGCCAUUGUGAAUACUCAAAAGAAGCAAAUAGAAAAUAACGAUGAAUAAUACAGAGCAAAUUUGGAACCUGGCAAAAUAUUUCCACUCCUAUCUGUCAGAUCGCGGUUGUUGUGCUCAGCAGGAAAAAGGCGAGUAUGAUGCCUUUUUUGUACCACAACAAACGUAACUGGUGGCGCAUAUCCCUCCUCAAGUGAGGCACAGGCCUGGAAAUAAGUCAAUUUAGCAUGUUGCAACAAAAGUCAUCAUAAAGAAAUUAACUUAACCUGACUGAAUUGAAAAUCUCUAGAACACAAGAAAAAUUUGUUAACUUCAGGACUAAUCAGCAUUACCUGUCGGAUAGCACUCAUUUCAUGGAGCAAAACCUGACUGAAUUGGCCUUCGCCAACACCAUCUCUGGCACAUAAAUGAAACAACAUCAGUAACAUUCUGCAAAACAUACAGUUUAACAUUGAAAACAGCCAUUACCGGUAGAAAAUAAUCCUAUGAGGUUUAAGGUUUGUUGAUCUUCUGAACGCAAUUAACAGUUCCCUGUAAAAGACAAACAGAAGCAUAAGGUUCUCUUAAUUAAGGCAUAUGAAAAAUUUUUCCAUGUCUACUAACCUGAUCAUUCCUCCAUGAACUGAACCCCCAAAAGGAUCUUGAGUAGAUUUAUAGAGAUCUUGGAUAAUUUCCUGAUUAUGUGCCUGAGCAGAGACAAGUCCUCUGUACUUGGUUACUUCUGGCCAAUCCAUUGAGGCCACCACCUGUCUCAGUCAAUUCAAUCUUUUAACAGAGUGAAUUACUAGAAAGCAGAAACAGAAGAUGAGUGUACAUACAGCCGCUAUUGAAGGGCUAGAGUCUUCUCCUGGUUGUGGAUGGGUGACAUCUGAACCAAAUAUAAUUGUAGGUCUAUCAGUCACAAGAGGAAUUCUUUUCUGAACAGCAUCAACGAGCACAGUGUUUCGUCCUCCGACCUGAUAAAAUUACAAGUAGCAAACUGAAUCUCCAGUACCAAGGAAGCCAACCUAUCAAUUUUAACAAGAAAUUUUGGCACUCCCAAACUCUUCGAAAAAAAAAAAUUCUCGAACAUCAGAAUUUGAUUAUUUGGAAAAAAAAAGUUACAAUAAUUCCAGCAAAUCAAGACUGAAAUUAAAUUGCCCAAAAAAAAAAAUUCAUCUCCUACAUGUUUUCCCACUAACCCUUGUAUUUGUAAAUAUUAACCAUGAUGACGAACAGGAAAAAAAAGGGGGCAAAGCAAACCUUCACAUUGAUUUUAAGAGCCACAUUUUCAAAAUACGGAAUAUUGAGCCUUGAUGCCUGUCUAGGCUGACAGCAUUGUGAAACAAUCCCAAGUUCUGUUUCACAAACUCGCUUAAUUCUUCCUGCAAGCAGAAAGCCGAUAAUGUUGAACAAAACCAAAGCUGAUAUAAAAAUUUAAUCAUGGAUUAAAUUUAUCACUCACCAUAUGAUCCGCUAACAUCAGGUAAAAUAAUUAUCAACAGCUGAAGCUGUUUCCCUUGCUGUGUAGUCCGAUUGUGAACAUCGACAAGUGCCUUCUCAAUUUGAUUUGGGUUGGAUGAACUUAUGGGAAUGACAGGCCGCGGAUUAAAUACCUGGCAUGAUAAACACAGACCCCCCAAAAGAAAAAAGUCGGUUCAGAGAGGCCAUUAACCUGAAUUGCUAACAUGAAUCGCAAAAUAAAUAACAUUACCAUACCAUUCCCUUGCUAUUACACAUGUCUACCAACCCCUGACAGAACUGGAAUGGCACGUCCCGAUUCAAAUGCGUGGAGAAGUUCACACAACUCCAAACUUCCACCCUCCCACCAUUGAACAUUUUCUAUAAAACCAAAAUUACACAAAAUUCAGUGUGAAUAAAAAAAAAGCUCCUCGUUCAGAAGGCAAAGUGGAUUGAGCUGAACACCAAGCACAUACAAUCUAAAUACCUAAGUGAAUAUCAAAUACAAUGCUUUUGAAAGAUGAGAAGUAUAUAACUAAAUAGAAAUUACAGCAUGCUAAAAUGGAAAAAAAAAAUUAUGGUUGCAAAAGAAAUGCAGCACAACCACAUUGCAUCAAAUGUAGCAAAUCAACUUCUAAUCCAUCCUACCCAUCAGUCAAUAAACAUCCCUGAACCAAUUUAAACAGUGGUAACUGCUUCCGUAUGCUCUUCCUAAGCACAAAUCAACAACUACGGAAUAAAAUAAUAAUCAGUAAUUCACCUUGUUCCUCAUGUUCCAUUGCCCAAAACCAGGAUUCACGCUUGCUUCUUGGCCAGUUCCAUGAUAUUUAAGCUGCAGCAUUACAGGAGGUAAAGUUAACCAUAAGGAGAUUGGAAGUACCAUAAUCCUGUUACAAAUAAAACAAAAUGACACAUAAUUACCAUUGGAGCAGGUAGGAUUCGAGCAUCAACCGAUGCAAGACCAUCAGCCAUUUGAAUUCCAAACUCCUUGUUCACAAGAGUAUCUUCACUGUAAGGAUUUUCCCUAGCCAUCUGCAGAAGAAUGUCAACCAGAAUCAGAACCUCUCUUUGUUCACAAGAAGAUAAUUCCUAGAUUAAUCAUCCAAAAAGAUCCACCACAGACGUAAGAAAUUACAACAAUGCUCUACCAUCCGUAUAUUUGCUUCACGAUCGCGAGGACGCUGACAGGUUGCUCUUAAAAGAGCAGUUACUUGUCUUUCAUUUAAUCUUUUAGUAUAUCUCUGUCCCGCGGCAAUCCUAGAAAGCUGUAAAGGAAAAUAUUUUAUAAAUACGUCUUAAAUAAAUUAUUUUCCAAACACAAAAUAUCAAAGUAAUCUUUUGAUCAUAGAACCUCCAUUGGCAAAUAAAUAGGCCUCGCUUCACUUCCAGCUAGAAGGGCAGGCAAUGACGUGAAUUGAAGCCCAAUAUUAUAUCUUUGACGAAAAUAUUGAACCACUGACAACCUUGUUGCAUUGUCAUCAGUAAACCUAACAAAUACAAUCAAAGGGAAGAUAAGACAUGAAUGCCUGUUAUAACAUGGAGGGAUGGAUACAUCACUGUUACAGGCAAUAACAAGUCACCAUUGCACUACAUAGAAGCCAACUACUAUCACAAAUCAGAUUUGAGAAAUUGAUUUGACGCACAGCCGCUAAACAGUUUACCACCAAGUCAGUUCAUGAAUCGUACAUAAAAUACAACACAAAAGACAAAUUUAACCAUAUGUGGAUUUCAGAUGACGACAAAAGCAGGCAUCGUAAAGUAUGCUUCUGGAAUGGCGUGGGGGACUCAAGAAUCAGCUAACAUAAACAAAUCAACCAACAUAAACACAACCCAACCACCAAGUUAUGUUAUCACACACGUACAUUAGUUGGCUCAUCGGUUGACUGGAUAUUCCAGUGAUCUUGGUGCUUAUUUUGCAAUCCAAAUGCCUGAGCACUACCUUUAUUCCCUUCAAUGCCUUUUUCACCUAGAAGUCAAGAAUUAAACAAUUAUAUUAAUAUCAUUGAGCACGUGUCUCUAUCCCAUUCCCAGCAAUAAUUUUGAAAAUAAUUAAAGGGCAGUUGUCAAAUAGCGGCCAAAAUAGAUCGAGAUUAAAAAUUUUACAGAUAGUUCAAAAGAUUGCUAAUAUACAUAACGGAAUGAUAAUAAGUUGAUUAAGAUAACUGUACAAUUGCAAAUGAAUGCGUGGAAGAUUUUUAAAACCGCCAUUUCAAGAUCUCAUUUCUUUAUCAUCAGAAUUAUAGGCUAAAUUAUACAUCAGCUCCUACAUUGAUCAUCAAACCAUGUCAUCAACAUUCUAUUCCCCUUAGACUUGGGAGCUCAUUCUAUUUAGAUUUCAAUGGCGAAGAACAACAGACACUACUCAUUACCCACCAGUUCAGCCACAAAUGAAGAAAUUACCCUAUCCAAAAUUUGCAAGAAAUUUGAAAUUUUAAACUACUAAAAACUUGCAAUAAAUUAUACACAGCAUCUAAAACAUUACUGAACUGUUUGCCUAACAAAUCAGUGAUCAUUCUUUGAAAAGGCUCUUAUCACAAAUAUAUUACGGCGCUGCAGCCCUCAAUUAAAACUUUUAACCGCCCAAUGGAUAGCUCAUUAAAUUGAUACUAAAUUAAUUAUAUCCAAGACAUAACCAAAGAAGACUAGACAAUACCUUCAGACGCACUUCAUCAGAAAGAGGAUGUGAUAAGUCGCUGCAAUAAUACUGAACAAACUCAGUAACCAGAAUUGGCUCAUAAAAGGAACAGGCUGAAACAUCUGCAACAGCAAGAGCAAAUAUUUAUAUAGCAGUGCUGCACCCAAAACAAAAUCAAGCUUGCAUAAUAUAGAAGAUAAGCAGCAUCAAAUUAUAUAAAAUAUAAUGAGAAAUACCAAUAUUAAGAGAUAGCCCCAUCUGGGUUGGGCGAAGACUCUGAAAAUAUCCACGCCAAUAUUCAACGCCAUCACCAAGCUGACCCAUUGGUCCAAGAUCAGUUGAGAAAAAUGACCUCCCCACAACAGUAUGCCUGAUGCAGAAGUUCCUCAUUUCAUUAAUUAAUCAUUCUAAAAACCAAAUUGUUCGAGACGCAAAAUAGAAAAUAAUAAAAUUGUCCCUCAGAAAUCAAAUAUUAAAUCAGUUGCAUGAACAAGCAAAUGCCGGCAUGGGCAGGCAACAUCCUAUAUCAUACAAACCAAAAAGUGAAACUUUUAUUAACACGGUUAAGGUUAAAUACUUCUCUGAUGGAGCUGCCUUGAGAAUAACAUCAAGCACUCGUAUAACAUUGUACGGAGCUUCAAAAUGCAUUCGGCGUAAGAACUGCUGUAGAGUGUAAAGAUCAGGCUUCGACGCCAAUCUGAUAACCACCCUAAACUGACGCUCCCUUCUGCAUAAGAAAUCACUCAACACAUUAAAUCAAGAAAACUCACAAUCAACAAUAUUCAAGAAACACACUCGUUAAAAGCAUGAGAUACCUCGGCCUGGUAGAUGAGCUGGGACGAGGAUCACUAUCAGGUAACUUGAUAAUGAAUUCCUUCGAUUCAAAAGGCAGCGGCCCUGCUGUGUAAAUGCUCUUCAUACCAUCAUAGGCAGGUAUUCGUUGACCCAAGUUAGUCAGCCCAUUUAAAUUAAUCAGCUGAGAAAUAAUAUGUCUGUUGAUCUUUUUUGACGUCACCUCUGGAGUAAUUGAAACCUUAAAAAAUAAAUAAAUAAAUAAAUAAGCAAAACAAUAAACAUACUUUUAAAAUAUCAACAAAACCCCGACACCUUCGAUGUCGACGCUCACGAAUGGUGAAUCUUAAAUAAAAUCAAAAUUGACGAGAAAACAAAAAAUAAAAAUAGUCAAAACGUUUUCAAAAAUAACAAAACUAAAAUUAAAAGUAGACUUACAUCAUAGUGAUGAAUGUCUCUCUCGGCAAGUUGCACCAUAAAGUGGUUUGCUCUGACAACACAUUUUCUGCCAACAGUUCCGAAUCCCGGCCUCACCGGAAGUCUCAUUGCCUGCGACGACGAAGGCGGAAGAGUAGCCGCCGCUGGUGCCGCCAAUGCCAGUUUCUGCUCAGUUUCUUCGACAAGAGUAGAAACUGAAGACGAAGAAGGAGAGGAUGCUGAAACAGACGGAGACGAAGGAGCCGGCGACGUCGAAGUUGAAGCGGUGUGUGGUGAGGACGGGGCUGCAUCGGUCGAAGCGGUGUGUGGUGAGGACGGGGCUGCACCGGAGCCGGAAUGCGAUCCACGACCAGCACCCCCACGUUGACCUUGACGACCUCGGCCCCGUGGUCCCGCGGCUCCGCCACCACCGCGCUGGAAAGACGGCGCCGGUGCCUGAGUCGGCUGGUCACGGCGAGAAUCCGGCCUACGACCACCGCCACCCCGUCGAGACAUCGUCGAAAAAAAUUUUAAGGAAAUAAGAGUGGUCACACAAAUAAAGCGGGAGAGCGAUUACUACAACUCUAUAUUACAAAUGUACAAUACGCCUCCAACACUCAACUAGGGACUCCCAUUUUAUAGUCAGUCACUAAGGGGGAAAGCCAUAACUCAAGGAGAAAGUAAAAGUGUCAGAGAGAAGGAGUGAGGAAAAGAGGGAGUGUAUUUAAAUAAUAAAAAGGGCGGGGUGGCUGCCUUACAGCAACUCUUGCACUGUAAAAAGAAAAGGAGGCCCAAGUGAGGUUCAAGAUUAUUUUGUGAGAAUGCCGUAGCUUACAGCAUCUGUGUAGAAAGGGAUCAAGAUUAGAGAGAGAGAGAGAGAGAGAGAUCCAAGUGAAUGCAAGACGUGCAGUGGAAGAUUCUUCUUAUUUUAUUGCUUGGCGGGAGUAUGGAGACUGCUUGGUUCUCUGACGGUUUUACCCCUGGCCUUUUAUUCUAAUGACGCCUAAAAUGUAGCACCCGCUUUUGUUGCCGUAACUGCUGCACGCUUGCUGGCGUGCUGCUUACUACUUGCUCCCGUUGGAGGGCGAAGGGAAGGUCGUUCAUUUUUAUGAGAUUUUUUAUGUCUAAGAGCAAUUCAUCAUUAAUUAUUAAUUUUCAGUUGGAAAUUGAGGUAAGAUCUUCAGCUGGGCUUUCAGCCUUUCAGGUUUCCAGCUCCAGCCACCAUGAGAACUUAAAUUACUUCUUUUUUGUAAGAGAAUUUACUAGGAGUGAACAUUCGGUUCGAUUUGACUAAAAGUUGAUUUAGUUGAUAACUAGAAUUAAAAUCAUUUUUUAUAAUUUUUUUUUUUUUUGUUAUUACAACAAAAUAUGAGUGAGUUGUCACUCGCUGCAAAUUUACCCUCCAUAGAUAUUGAAAACAGGCUAUCGGUGGCAGCUAAUAAUGGUCGCUGCUCAGUAAUAGAGGUUUAUCUUUUAAUGAUAAUUAAAAGUAAUACUAAUUUAUUAGAUAGAUAAUAAGAAAAUAGUUAAACAUGCAAUACCCUUUGCACUCUGUCAAAGAUGGGAUUAUAGUAAAAUAUAAUACAUCUUGGUACGCUUAGCAUGGGGAAUAAGACGGGAUAUAAUUAUAUAUGAUGAGAUACAUCUCAUGUUUGGUAUACUAUAGAAUUUUACUAAACUAAUUUAUAAGGAAAUGAAGUAUAUUGACAUUUAUUUAUUAAUUAUUGAAUAUUUAAAUUUUUUUUAAUUUAUAAGAGGAGAUUUAUAAGUACAAAUUUUAUAAUAUGAAUAUUCAAAUUAUUAAAUUAAAAAUACUUAAAUAUUUAUUCAAGUUGUUUAUUUAUUUAUUUGUUAUUGUUUUUUUUUUUCUUUUACACCUAAUUAGGUGCGUGACACAAUCAAUGAUUAGAUGACAUGUGGACCCUACACACCUGAUCAUUCUUAUAUAUGCAUAUAUGUACACAAAAACACAUUGGCAAUUGGGCGUUAAAAUUUAUUUGAACAUAUUAUAUUUAGCCUAUUUAAAAAUUGAGUAAUGCUACACAUCUCAAAUUUUUUAUCUUAAAAAGUUAUCCCAAAUGAUGUGUCAUUUAUUAAUUGGUUGGUGAGAUAAUACAAUUAAUUCACUUAGAUCUUGUAAAGAAUUAUCAACCACUCAAUUAAUGACACAUCAUUUGGCAUAACUUUUUGGGAUAAAAAAUUUAGGAUGUGUAGCACUACUGUUAAAAAUUUAAACCCCCUUCUAGGCUUAUAAAUUUUCCUUUUAAAUAUGUUAUAUAUUUGGUCCAUUUAUUAGUUUGUUCUAUGUGUUAUAGACUUAAGUGGUGCUCAAGUCAUGACUUAAUUGAUUGACACAAUUGUCUAUCUCACAACUUUAAAUUUCUAUAAAUAUCAAGACAAAAGUCACCGGCUUUAGCUUUUUAAAUAGUUGAGUUGGAUUUAUUUGAUCAACUAGAUUUCUUACUAUAUAUGAUAAGUUUUUUAUGGUUGCCUCAUUUAUAUUAAUUUAAGUCAUUACUUGAAAAUAACAAACAACAAUCUAUAUUUCAAACUUCAAAUUGUUAAAUUUUUUUUUUUUUUGUUUAAACCACCUGAUUUUCAAACUUCAAUAAUGGUCGCUGCUCAGUAGUAGAGACAUUGAUUUAUUAUACUGUUGUUUGACUAGUUGUUACCCAGAAUUGGAUAGGAGAGGGCUAACUUACAGUAACAGCCCUCACAUGAAUAGUGUUAAAUAGUGUUUGGUUGUGGGUCCGAUUUUAUAUUUAUUUGACUUAUUUAUUAUACAUAUAUAAAGUUUUAAACACUUAAAAUUUAUAUUUUUAUGUCAAAUUUUAUUGAAAUAAAUUUAAAACUUAUAAAAUUACCAAAAAAAUAUAAAAUAUAUACACAUAAAAUAUUAAAAAAUAUAAAAUUCGGGUACCCGGAUUAAAACCCGACCCGGACCCGGACCCGGACCCGGACCGGUUACUUCCGGGCAGGGUCCGGUCAUGGCAAUACCCGGACCCGGCCCGGGGUUUUGCCAUCUCUAGUCGGCAUGACGAUGUGAUGCAUCAUAGUUAAUCAGAUGGAGACACGUGGAUCGUACGACCAAUCAAAAUGAAUAGGAGUUUGCGCGUGGUGGAUAAUGGUACUUUUUUCGUUUUUUCUUCUUUGCUGACUGGAUUUCAGUUUCAAGAUUACCACAAAUUUAUGUGGGGGGGGUGGUUUUUCAGAAGGCCAUCGACACUUAUGGUUCAACGAAAUAAUUACUGAACUUCGUUUAUUUUCAAAAAUCAUCGUAUAAAUCUUUAUUUUUGAUAAUGAUGUCGUGAUGAAAGACUAUUUGGUCACUAUAAUCAAAUAGUAUAAGUAUUUAAUAAAGAAUUUAUAAAUAUCCGGACUUAUCUUGAUGUAUGCUGAAUCUUUCAUUUUAGUAACUUGUUAAAUUUAUUAUUAUGUUAUUAAUGGAGUACUUUUUAGGAAGAUUGUCAAUUUCCCUCCUACAGUAAUUAAUAUAUACUAUUUUUUUCCUACUGUUUUUAUAAUGGCCAAAAAUCCCCCCUGAUAGCAUAAGUUUAUAAUAUUACCCUUAUUUUCAACUACUCUUUUAUUUUCAUUUAUUAUAAAUUAAAUAAAUCACUAGAAUAGAAACUAAAUAAAAAAUUAAGCAUUAAAAACAAGAAAUAUAUGUUUUGAUAUGAGAAAAAAAUUAAUAAUAAAAUUUUUUUCUUGUACUUAUUUAUUUUGUGAAAAUUUUCUUAUAAUAAAUAUAUAAGAAAGUUAUUAUAAAAUGAUAAAAAACUUAUUAUAAGAAAAUUUGAAUGACAAAUAAAAAUUUAUUAUAAGAUAAAUAAUAAAAUAUUUUACCUAUAUUUUUUACAUUUAAUUUUAAAAUAUUACACAAUAUUUAUUAUAAGAAAAUGUUCACAAAAUAAAUAAUUACAAGAAAAAAAUUUUAUUAUUAAUUUUUUUCUCAUAUCAAAACAUAUAUUUCUUGUUUUUAAUACUUCAUUUUUUAUUUAGUUUCUAUUCAUGUAAUUUAUUUAAUUUAAAAUAAAUGUAAAUAAAAGAAUAAUUAAAAAAAAGGUAAUAUUGUAAACUUCUGUUGUCAGGGGGGUUUUUGGCCAUUAUAAAAAUAUUAAGGGGGUAAAUAGUAUAUGCUAAUUACUGUAGGGGGGAAAGUGGCAAUCUCCCUACUUUUUAUAAGGCUCAUAUUUUGAUAAAAUCCCCAACUCACCCCAAAUAAUAUAUACUUUCUUAAAUUUAAUUGUACUCGUGAUCUUUUACCGUCAAUACAAGAGUGAACUAAUGACCCAAUUGAUCGAGAUUAAAAAGUAAAAAUAAAAGUAUUAUAUAGUUAAAUUAAUUGUUUAAUCAGAACAUUUAUAAUUUGCUUUUAUCUUUCACAAAUUAUUCUGAAAAUCAAUUUGAGAGAUUUAACUUGUUUUUUAAAUGAUUUUUAGGAGAGGAAUUUCAUAAUUUUCGCAUGCUUUUUAAAGCUUUUUAGCCACGGAUCAAAUGAACAUAAAUAAAAAGAUGGAUCCUCGACCAAGGUUGAUGAAUUCAAGGUUUUCGACAAAUUUCAUAUUUAAAACUGCAAAUAAAAUGCCAACAAUACUUAGUCUAAUUAAUGACAUGAUUAACUUCAAAAAAUCAUUAAAACAAAAGAUUUUUUUUUUGUUUAAAUCACAGUUAAUGCAAAAAAUAGUCUAAUAUCACCAAGAUCAUAAUAAAACAAUAUUCACACUGACAAUAAUUUGGAUUGAAGAGAUAAUAUGAGUAUGAAUUAUCCUCCUCCAUAUGUUCAAGAAUUUGGUAUUGGAGGAAUCAGUUGUUGUUUAAUAACAAGGAGCUGGAAUGGCGGCUUGAUUGUUCGUGAUAUUAAGGCAAGGGUUGAAAAUAUCUGUUCUAACCUCUCAACCAUAGUCUAUAGAAGAAAUACAAGGAUUCAAAAAUGGAUUUGUUAGGCUCCUCCAGCAUGGCCUUAUGUGUGCUUAAAUACGGAUGGUGCAAGGAAAGGAAAUGGAUAUGCAGGUGCAGGAGGUCUGUUGCGAGACUGUCAUGCUAGGUUCAUUCAUGGCUUCGGCACAAAUCUUGGAGUGUGGUCUGUUAUAAAGGUGAACUCUAGGGUGUUUUGCAUGGAUUAAGAAUGGUAUGAGACCUUGGCUAUAGAUGUAUCCAAGUUGGAAUUGAUAACUCUAGUGUGGUGCAACUUAUAAAAGGAGGAUAAUGUUAAUGUCAAUGACCUUUUGGCUAUAAUCCAGAUGAUUCAGGAACUAAUGAGGAUGUUGAAUGUUGAUAGCAACUCCUCACUUCCCAUUUUGUCAAAUUCGUUAAAUUCCCGAUGUAUAUAUCUCCGUGACUUGGAAUGGAAUAUAGCUAGGUUCUCUUUCAAAUUUUACUUAAAAAAAUAAAAUAAGAUCUUUUUAGUUUUGAAUAAGCUAGCUGGUCCGUCAUCGUCAAUCAGUUGGCCACUGCUGCAUUGCCGGUAAUGCUUGAUAAGAAUGUUAUGUUAGAAUACCACAUAAGGUAAAGAGAAUAAUGUGAAUUUCUCCUGUUUCGUGCUUAUAUCAAAACAAAACUAUUGCCCCAUUACUUGUCCAAAAGGAUAAUCGAUUUAACCUUUAGAGACAUCACCCAACAGUAAUAAAAAGCAUGAACGAAAUAAAUAAAAACCAAAGCUCUUGCAGCAACCAACGCAUGCAUACAUUAUGUGUCACAUGGUUUAUUAUUUAGUAGGCAUGUAAUUAAGUUGCUUACGUUAUAUGCUCUCCAAUGCAAGCUUCUAAAUAGUCCUCAUGUUCAGUUCCCUCAGACGAUUAACAGCACUCAGGACAGACAAGUUCCCUCUUUCUAUUUCCUCAACAACAUCUUGGACAGUAUCUUCGACACCCAUAGCUUUCUUAAUUUGGAAUGUCCUUUUAGUAACUUGAGCCGAUCUAAGUCUUUCGCUGAGAAGAGAGUUAAUAGCUUCUUCAUCAACUGGUGCUCCAUCUCGGCCAAAAGAUGUCAGGCUCAGAGCUGCCAAUAACUGCUCCUUAACAUCAUUAACAGUAAUUUCAUCUCGACAUAAUUGCAGGAGCAUUGAAAGCACGGAAUCAUGGAGUCCCAAUUUAUCUUUAAUCGAUUGAACUGCAUCUUCCUUGGACACGGCCAUCUCACGAACUUCGAUAAGGAUGGACAUCACAACACUCCAUGUUGCAUCUUGUUCAUCGUAAGGUUCAAUAUCCAUAGCUUCUAUUAGAUAAUUAAUACAUAAAUUUGACAAAAAAAGAGAUGCAUAUCAGUACAAAAAAACUAAGAUACCAACAUGUAUAAAAGAAUUUAAUUAAUGCAUUAGUACUGGAGUUUUGGUGGUGAUGGCGGUGGUGGAGACUUGAAAUAGUACUCAUGUGGAGGUGGAGAAUACUUUGGUGAUAGCGGUGGUGGAGAUUUGUAGUAGUAAUGCUAAGAUGUAAGUGGAGACUUAUUUUGGCGAUGAUGGCGGAGACUUAGAGUUCGUUUGGGGCAGCCUUAGUGGUCGUGGUGGAGACUUUCAAUAAUACUAAUGUGGAGAAUUCUCUUGAAGUGGUGGUGGAAAUUCAUGAACUCAUUUGCAUUAGUACUGGGCCUUUAGUGGUAGUGGUGGUGGUGGUGGAAACUUGAAAUCGGACUUAUGUGGAGGUGGAAAAUACUUUGGUGGUGGUGGAGAUUUGAAGUAGUAGUGUUAAGAUGUAGGUGGAGAUUUAUUUUGGCGAUGGUGGUGGAGACUUGGAGUAGGUUUUGUGGUCGUGGUGGAGACUUUUAGUAGUACUAAUGUGGAGAAUUUUCUUGAGGUGAUGGUAGAAAUUCAUGGACUCGUUUACAUCAGUACUAGGGCUUUGGUGGUGGUGGUGGUGGUGGUGGAGACUUGAAAUAAUAUUUAUGUAGAGGUGGAUAAUACUUUGGUGGUGGUGGAGACUUGAAAUAGUAUUUAUGUAGAGGUGGAUAAUACUUUGGUGGUGGUGGUGGAGAUUUGUAUUAGUAGUGCUAAUAUGUAGGUAGAGACUUGUUUUGGCGAUGGUAGCAGAGACUCAAAGUCCGUUUGGGGCAGCUUUAAUGGUAGUGGUGGUGGUGGAGACUUGAAAUAGUACUCAUGGGGAGGUGAAGAAUACUUUAGUGGAAGCGGUGGUGGAGAUUUGUAGUAGUAAUGCUAAGAUGUAAGUGGAGACUUGUUUUGGCGAUGGUGGCGGAGACUUAGGGUUUGUUUGGGGCAGUUUUAGUGGUCGUGGUGGAGACUUUCAAUAAUACUAAUGUGGAUAAUUCUCUUGAAGUGGUGGUGGAAAUUCAUGGACUUAUUGGCAUUAGUACUGGGCCUUUAGUGGUGGUGGUGGAGACUUGGGGUCCGUUUAGGAGGUUUUGCGAUCGUGGUAGAGACUUUCAGUAGUACUAAUGUGGAGAAUUCUCUUGAGGUGGUGGUGAAAAUUCAUGGACUCGUUUGCAUUAAUACUAGGGCUUUGAUGGUGAUGGUGGUGGUGGUGGUGGUGGUGGUGGAGACUUGAAAUAGUACUUAUGUGGAGAUGGAGAAUGCUUUGGUGGUGGUGGAGAUUUGUAGUAGUAGUGCUAAGAUGUAAGUGGAGAUUCGUUUUGGCGAUGGUGGCGGAGACUUAAGGUCCAUUUAGGGAAGCUUUAGUGGUGAUAGUAGAGACUUUUAGUAGUAUUAACGUGGAGAAUUCUCUUGAGGUGGUGGUAGAAAUUCAUGGACUCGUUUGCAUUAGUGCUAUGGCUUUAGUUUGCAUUAGUACUAAGGCUUUAGUGGUGGUGGUGGUGGAGGAGAUUUGUAGUAGUACUAAUAUGGAGAAUUCUCUUGAGGUGGUGGUGGAGAUUCAUGGACUCAUUUGCAUUAGUAUUGGGGAUUUGGUGGUGGUGGUGGUGGUGGAGAUUUGUAGUAGUACUAAUGUAGAGAAUUCUCUUGAGGUGGUGGUGGAGAUUCAUGGACUCAUUUGCAUUAGUAUUGGGGAUUUGGUGGUGGUGGUGGUGGUGGAGAUUUGUAGUAGUACUAAUGUAGAGAAUUCUCUUGAGGUGGUGGUGGAGAUUCAUGGACUCAUUUGCAUUAGUAUUGGGGAUUUGGUGGUGGUGGUGGUGGUGGAGAUUUGUAGUAGUACUAAUGUAGAGAAUUCUCUUGAGGUGGUGGUGGAGAUUCAUGGACUCAUUUGCAUUAGUAUUGGGGAUUUGGUGGUGGUGGUGGUGGUGGAGAUUUGUAGUAGUACUAAUGUAGAGAAUUCUCUUGAGGUGGUGGUGGAGAUUCAUGGACUCAUUUGCAUUAGUAUUGGGGCUUUGGUGGUGGUAGUGGUGGUGGAGACUUUUAGUAUCAUUAAUGUGGAGAAUUCUCUUGAGGUGAUGGUGGAAAUUCAUGGACUCGUUUGCAUUAGUGCUACGACUUUGGUUUGCAUUAGCACUAGGGCUUUAGUCGUGGUGGUGGUGGAGAUUUGUAAUAGUACUAAUGUAGAGAAUUCUCUUGAGGUGGUGGUGGAGAUUCAUGGACUCAUUUGCAUUAGUAUUGGGGCUUUGGUAGUGGUGGUGGUGGAGAUUUGUAGUAGUACUAAUGUGGAGAAUUCUCUUGAGGUGGUGGUGGAAAUUCAUGGACUCGUUUGCAUUAGUGCUAUGGCUUUAGUUUGCAUUAGUACUAAGGCUUUAGUGGUGGUGGUGGUGGAGGAGAUUUGUAGUAGUACUAAUAUGGAGAAUUCUCUUGAGGUGGUGGUGGAGAUUCAUGGACUCAUUUGCAUUAGUAUUGGGGCUUUGGUAGUGGUGGUGGUGGAGAUUUGUAGUAGUACUAAUGUGGAGAAUUCUCUUGAGGUGGUGGUGGAAAUUCAUGGACUCGUUUGCAUUAAUGCUAGGGUUUUGGUUUGCAUUAGUACUAAGGCUUUAGUGGUGGUGGUGGUGGAGGAGAUUUGUAGUAGUACUAAUAUGGAGAAUUCUCUUGAGGUGGUGGUGGAGAUUCAUGGACUCAUUUGCAUUAGUAUUGGGGCUUUGGUGGUGGUGAUGGAGACUUGAAAUAGUACUCAUAUUGAGGUGGAGAAUACUUUGGUGGUGGUGGAGACUUUUAGUAGUACUAAUGUAGAGAAUUCUCUUGAGGUGGUGGUGGAAAUUCAUGGACUCGUUUGCAUUAGUGCUAGGACUUUGGUUUGCAUUAGUACUAGGGCUUUAGUCGUGGUGGUGGUGGAGAUUUGUAGUAGUACUAAUGUAGAGAAUUCUUUUGAGGUGGUGGUAGAGAUUCAUAGACUCAUUUGCAUUAGUAUUGGGGAUUUGGUGGUGGUGGUGGAGAUUUGUAGUAGUACUAAUGUAGAGAAUUCUUUUGAGGUGGUGGUAGAGAUUCAUAGACUCGUUUGCAUUAGUACUAGGGCUUUAGUGGUGGUGGUGGAGAUUUGUAGUAGUACUAAUGUGGAGAAUUCUCUUGAGGUUGUGGUGGAAAUUCAUGAACUCGUUUGCAUUAGUGCUAGGGCUUUAGUUUGCAUUAGUACUAGGGCUUUAGUAGUGGUGGUGGUGGAGAUUUGUAGUAGUACUAAUGUGGAGAAUUCUCUUGAGGUGGUGGUGGAAAUUUAUGGACUCGUUUGCAUUAGUGCUAGAGCUUUAUGGUGGUGGAGAUUUAUAGUAGUACUAAUGUGUAGAAUUCUCUUGAGGUGGUGGUGGAAAUUUAUGGACUCGUUUGCAUUAGUGCUAGGGCUUUGGUUUGCAUUAGUACUAGGGCUUUAGUGGUGGUGGUGGAGAUUUGUAGUAGUACUAAUGUAGAGAAUUCUCUUGAGGUGGUGGUGGAAAUUCAUGGACUCAUUUGCAUUAGUGCUAGGGCUUUGGUUUGCAUUAGUACUAAGGCUUUAGUGGUGGUGGUGGUGGUGGUGGUGGAGGAGAUUUGUAGUAGUACUAAUAUGGAGAAUUCUCUUGAAAUGGUGGUGGAAAUUCAUGGACUCGUUUGCAUUAGUGCUAGGGCUUUGGUUUGCAUUUAUACUAAGGCUUUAGUGGUGGUGGUGGUGGAGAUUUAUAGUAGUACUAAUGUGUAGAAUUCUCUUGAGGUGGUGGUGGAAAUUUAUGGACUCGUUUGCAUUAGUGCUAGGGCUUUGGUUUGCAUUAGUACUAGGGCUUNNNNNNNNNNNNNNNNNNNNNNNNNNNNNNNNNNNNNNNNNNNNNNNNNNNNNNNNNNNNNNNNNNNNNNNNNNNNAGUAGUACUAAUGUGGAGAAUUCUCUUGAGGUGGUGGUGGAGAUUCGUGGAAUCAUUUGCAUUAGUAUUGGGGUUUUGAUGGUGGUGGUGGAGACUUGAAAUAUUACUCAUAUUGAGGUGGAGAAUAGUUUAGUGGUGGUGGUGGAAAUUUAUUGCAGUAGUGUUAAGAUGUAGAUGGAGACAUAUUAUCCAAAAAGACCAACACAACCAAACACAAGAAAAGGAGAAACAGUGAAAUAUCUAAAAUGGAGGAUGCUUACUUGUGAUGUGCACCAAGUGUUAAGGUGGCGGAGACUUACCAGUGUCGAACGUAUUAUCCAAAACAGACCAACACAAACAAACACAAGAAAACGAGAAACAGUGAAAUAUCUAAAAUGGAGGAUACUUUCACAGUUCAGUGACUUGUGAGGUGCAAAAAGAGUAUAGAACAUACUUUCUCUCUCUUGUUUUAUACUGUUAACGUUGUAGGCGAUGGCCAACUACUUUUUAUUUUUUAAAUGUUUCAUGUAUCCCUUAAAAACUGAGAAAUUAUUUAUCAUUAUUGUUCGUUUUCAAAGGGGUUUUGACAUCAACUUGUUGAAACUUUUCUCAGUCAUCCGGGAAUAUCAUAAAAAAUAAUACAGAGGACAACACGACUAUUGGCCGGCUUAUGGCGCUAAUGGGUAUUUUAUAUGAGAUGACAUUCUUUUUCAACCGGCUAAUGUAAUGGUUGGUUAUUGAAUGCUAACACUUUUAUCUCCUGUUUCUAGGAAGAUGCACGUUCAGUCAUGUCCAUUAAUUUUCUAAUACGUAUAGGAAUUAAACUUGCUAACGCAUUCGUCAAAAGCAUUCGUGCGUUGCGUUCACCAGGGAAGCUUGCAUAAAUUUGUGACGUGGGAGUGGUUGGUUAGCGGAUGUUAACACCGGUGAGGUGUGAUGUGACCGUUGCUCUACCCAGAAGCUAAAGAAGAAAGUUGUUUUUUUUCCAAUUUUUCUCUAUACCAAAGAGAAUUUUUUAUUCAACAUGCAGUCACAUUUGACUGCUGUACGGCCAAGGCGGNNNNNNNNNNNNNNNNNNNNNNNNNNNNNNNNNNNNNNNNNNNNNNNNNNNNNNNNNNNNNNNNNNNNNNNNNNNNNNNNNNNNNNNNNNNNNNNNNNNNNNNNNNNNNNNNNNNNNNNNNNNNNNNNNNNNNNNNNNNNNNNNNNNNNNNNNNNNNNNNNNNNNNNNNNNNNNNNNNNNNNNNNNNNNNNNNNNNNNNNNNNNNNNNNNNNNNNNNNNNNNNNNNNNNNNNNNNNNNNNNNNNNNNNNNNNNNNNNNNNNNNNNNNNNNNNNNNNNNNNNNNNNNNNNNNNNNNNNNNNNNNNNNNNNNNNNNNNNNNNNNNNNNNNNNNNNNNNNNNNNNNNNNNNNNNNNNNNNNNNNNNNNNNNNNNNNNNNNNNNNNNNNNNNNNNNNNNNNNNNNNNNNNNNNNNNNNNNNNNNNNNNNNNNNNNNNNNNNNNNNNNNNNNNNNNNNNNNNNNNNNNNNNNNNNNNNNNNNNNNNNNNNNNNNNNNNNNNNNNNNNNNNNNNNNNNNNNNNNNNNNNNNNNNNNNNNNNNNNNNNNNNNNNNNNNNNNNNNNNNNNNNNNNNNNNNNNNNNNNNNNNNNNNNNNNNNNNNNNNNNNNNNNNNNNNNNNNNNNNNGUACAGCAGAAUUAGCGUCUUGUCUGCUGUUUGACUUUUUAUGGCCACAUGAAUUAACUUACAGUCAUAACAAAUUACUUUUCGUGGCCGAUAUCCAGGAGUUAAGAUUGUUAUCUAUUUUAAUGGUGUCCUUUAUAUAUCGAUUAGUUUAUAAACCAACUGCUUACCAAACUUUGUAUUAUUAUUCUUUUAACAAAUUUUUUGUUGCUGAUCAUAUCUACUUCAUGAAUAAUGAUAUUUUAUACAAAUGCAAUAUCAAUAGAUUGGCAUGUAAUAAUGACCACAUCGUUCAACAUUAAUUCAAAGUGAGGAUGUGCUCGGAAAUUGAUUAUUAAGAUUGUGUUCCUUUCUUUCUUUUUUUUUUGUGGGUUUUUUUUGGUUUUAAUAGAAAGCAGCAAUCACAAAAGUUUGAGGCCAAUCCACAUAUAUAUAUGAUUAAUGCAAGAAAUGUUUUGUUUAUACUGUUUAGAGUGCAAAAAAGUCUAAUAAUUAUAAGGGUACUGAAAGUGAAGAAAUCAUGUGUUUAGGGGAGAAUAAAAUGUUACAAUUAAUAUGAAAAACUACAUAAUUAGGAGAUUAAGAGUAACGACAUAUAUCACUGUGUAUUGUAGGCAUCCCAAAGUAAUAAAGAAUAAAGAAAGAGAAAAUUAAAGUUUGUGCGGUUAACGCACAUGCAUAAAAUAUAUCCUCAUAAACCAACAUUUAAAGUAAUAGAAACUUAUAUCCUCAUAAACCAACAUUUAAAUUUUAAAGUAAUAGAAACUAAAAGUCUAAAACGAAUGCUAUCAUACAACCUAUGCUAUUCCAUUUCCCUAUCCUCUGGUGACUGACCAAAUAAUAGGGUGAAUAGUGAUUGAAGAUAAAUGAAAGAAUCCGAUCAUUCAACCAUCAAAAGCUUAUCUCCACGUGUCCACUUCUUGGUAUAGGCCAUAAGGUGGCAUCUAUUUUUGAAGGGUGUACGACUAGGGGUGGGUAAAAUUGGGUUCGGAUCAACCCCAUCGGGUUUUGGAUUGGAUGAAAAUUCAUCCGAAUUCAACCCGAACUUAAAAUCCGACCCGAUCCGAUCCGAAUUAUAUUCGGAUCGGAUCGUGUUAUAAAUUCGGGUUAAGUUCGGAUCGGAUCGGAUGCGGUUUGGGUUAUAUUUGAAUCAAUUUAGGCCUAUUCGGGUCGGGUACAAUUCGAAAAUACAUAAUUACCUAUUAUUAACAAACACCAAAUACCAAUUAAACAUUAAUCUUUCACACAUUACAUAUAAUAUACAUCUAUAGCAUCACUGUCAGAGGCUCAAAGCUUCCAAAGCCCAAAGUCAACAGCCAAAGUUCGGGUCGCAGCUUACCGGGUUUCGAAUGUGGACUUAUACGUUAAAAUUGUAUAACAUUAUCUUUUUUAAUUUUUUUUUAACAAAUAAUAGGGAUUACAUUUGCUAAUAACUAAACAAAGACAUUCUAACCAUUGAAAAUAGUUUUCCAUUAAAUCUUAUGGUGAGAGACAAAUUUCGAAAUACCUUACUCCGAGUGUAAAAUAAUCAAAUUUUUAUACGUAUUAAUUAUCCUUAUGCUUUUGAAAAAGUGUUGAUAAUGAAAUUCAAAAUUUUGGUAUAUUUUAUUUUAUUUAAGAAGAAGUAACAGAAAAUGAAUCUCCACAAACUAAAUAAAAAUACAGAUCAGAGUGCAGUUACCAAAAUAUUAGCUACUUACUAUAUGCUCUCAGUAGCCAAAUGAAGAUUGAGAUUCAUGCUUUGCGUAACUGUCAACCAAAAUUCAAAUGACUUUAGUUUUAAUAGAUACGUGGACCGCAAAAUUCAAAUGGCUAAUUGUUAUACACAAAUCACGCUUGACAAAGACAGGGCCAUAAAAUUACAAGAUACGUGGGCCGCAAGCUCCUGUAGCUGUAGAUUUUCAUCAUAUAACAGAUGUUAGCUACUGCCUACUGAUUGUUGCCUUGAUUCGCUUCGGCUUUGGACUUGGCUCGCUGCUUUGCGUAUAAGAAAAAAAAAAAAAAAUACAAUAUGCCAUUGGCGGGAUUUGGUCGGUCACCAACUUCUGCUGACGCUACUCUUUACUCACGUUCCAUUAAGUUGAAGAUUCUUUUCCCUCUUCAAAGUAAUCAACAAAACAAAACAAAAAAAAAAAAAAAAAUUAAGACAAAAAUCCGAAGAAUAUUUAGCGUAAGGCGAACGACAAAAUCGACUCAAGGCCCUGGUCCAGUUAAAUAUCAAUAUAUAUAAGGGGCAUUUCAUUGUUGGAUUGGGAACGAAUAGAUUUAAGAAAUGAGAGAGUUAAGGAUACCCACCACAAUGGUAUCUCUAAUUAUAGUCUCUCUGGGAUGUAAAAUAUAUAUAUUCUCACCAUCCCCAUAGUGUAUGAGACAAAUGUAUGCAUUUCGAUUAGGUUCGUAUUCUAUGGUUACGAUUCUACCAUAUAUGUCUUUUUCAUUCCAUCGAAAAUUGAUUUUACGGUAUAGACGCUUAUGAUCUCCCCCUUUAUGCCCUGCGGUAAUGAUUCCUCUAGCAUUACGACCUUUACCACAACGAUGUUGUCCAUAGAUCAAAUUAUUUCGUGGAUUGGAUUUCCCUUUAAGAUCAAACAAUUCCAUCGAAUUGAGUAUGAUUGUAUGUGUGAUAGCAUCUACUAUACUAAUAAUAUCAAUGAACCCGAUUAUUGCAAUUGCUCAGGACACCCUUUUUUAGCUUCUAGUUAGUUUAUAGAAUCGAUUUCUUAGUUCAAGAUCCCUUUUACUAACUGGAAUCAAAGAAUUAGUAGAUCUGUUCCGAACAAAAUGGGAAUGGGAUAGGGUUAUGAACUUAUAAUUUAUAAUCUGAUUAUCGAGUCGAUUCUAUGAUUAUAAUUUCAUUCCAUACCGGACCAGACCAGAAUAGGGUUAUAUACAUUCUCAUUAUGAGAAGGGGUCAUUCGAGCGUAUCUAAAUAGAUAUUAUGUUGACAUAUGGAUUCCUGCUUCGUUACAUUCCAUUCAGGAUUAGGAAUAGGUGUAAUCGGACCUGCUUUUUACAUAUCUCUCGUGGGACCCUAUUCACCUCUUUGGGCUUCUACUGAAUUGAGAAAAAGAUGGACAAUUGGAUCCCAUUUAAAAUAAUUGGAUCUUAUUUAUAGGAAUGUUGCAUGUUGUUACUCUAAGCUUAAUCAGGUACCGCUCUUUUUAGCAUUAAUAGAGUGACAUUGAAUAAUAUCAUGAAGACAAAUGCCUUUGAUUUUCCAAUUAUGUUAAUUGAAUAUAUGAAAUUUCAUGAUAUCUUGGAAACUCUGCCAGGUAAAAGCUGGGCUCUCAGCACUUGAAGAUGCAUUGCUGGCGGGAUACGAAGACUUUAAGGAAAAUCUAUGGAUCAUAGAACCGUUGCUUAGAAUUUAGUUGAGCCUUCAAAGUAUCUAAAAUUAUUGAAAUGGUUAACAGAGAGUCCGGACAGAUCCUGACUUAGAAAAUCUCAGAACUUCCGAGGAAUUUGAUGUUCUUCGAAAAAGGUUUGAUGAGUCAUUUAUCAAUGAGAACGCCAUCAAUGCCAUUAAGUCAUUGUUCGGGUUAUUAGACAAGAAAUAAAUCCUUGAAUUUACUCUAACUUACUCAAAGGACUAAAGUUGGUGAUUGCUCAAAGCUGCAAAAGGGAACGAAGGCUUAGUGUAGCUUUUAUGCUUUUGUUCACAGCAUUCAUUGUUUGAAGGUGAGAUUUGAACAAUUUUAUAAUGUUUCGGUGGAUAGUUCGUGUUUUUUUGGGCAAUUCUGGACAAGAAGAUUGCUAAGAACUUAAAAACAGAAAUACGAAUGCUUUCAUUUCUUCUCUGCAACAACAAUAUGUU
rnacentral:lncRNA from 1 species